UUUUUUUUUUUUUUUGUAGAAAAGUGAAAUUUGAACAGCUAGACAUUCUUGCUUAAUCUUGCAAAAAUUAAAUAUUAAAUUUAGUUAGGAAGGACAACCAAAAGAAAAAGUUCCAAAAGGAAGCACGAAUGGAAGAUGUGGAAAUUGGAUGGUCGUAAAUACCUCUAGGACAAGAGUCUUCCAAAUAGGAUUGCAACAAAGACAAUUCCACCAAACCAUUUAUUUGAUGCAAAUCUGUUAAGCAGAAAGCGUAGAAGAAAACUUAGCUAGAGAUAAUAAAAUAUAUCAGAGGUAUAUAAAGCAAAGAUUUUUCUUUAUUAUGGAGUUUGUGUAUCCUCAAUGACUUGUUUCUGAGAACGGGUAAGGUUCCAUUUAGGAUUGGAACCAUCAAAAUUUGUAUUCCACAAUGGCGAAAUCAUCCUUUCAUUUCCGCUUCAAAAGAAAAAUCUUCCACUCUUACAUACCAUAAAUCCAAAAGUAGCCAGAAGAGAGAAUUAUGCUUUGAAGGCGUGGAAAUUAAUUUCAGCAUGAGAGGAUAAGCAUAUUAUGAUUUCUUAUGGGUGUCAAUUAUGUAAAGUCAAAUAAUAUGUGAAUUCCAAUUUUAUCUUCGUGGAUGAGUACCCACUUUCUGAAACAGUCUGCAGGGCUUGAUAGGACAACAUCCCAAUUUUGCCAAGCUCUGUGACAGGAAGCAGCAGCUAGCAAUGCAUAAAAUGGCCAUCCUAAAACACUCAAAAAAAAAAAAAAAAACAAGAACAAUGCCACUAAUGUUAAUUAGGGGAAAAUAUAGAGACAAAAAAGUAGACUGCUAGAGGAAAGUGAACAUUAAAGAAAUAUUUUUAGCCAAAGUGAUCCGUUUAACAACAGCAAAUAUGAAAAAUAAAAGAAAGGGAAUUAUUUUUAUGGGAAUAGGAUUUGAAAAACAGAUAUAUGAAACAAAAAAAAUAGAAAGAGAAUAUGAGUAAUUCUCUUUUGACUAUUUGCCAAAUAAUAUAUCAUUCAAAAUCAGAAGGUUGAAAAGUAUUCUUGCGAUAAAGAGUGGAAUUCAAGUGCGAAAAAUUUUACCAAAAUAUGAAGAGACACAAAUGGCUCCUAAGGUUAAUGUUGUAAAUUAAAAACAGUAAAGGCAAGUAACAAUAAGAAGUAACUUAUUGUACAAGUACGAAUUGCAUGGAUUUCCACACCGAGUAAGGGAUAGAUUUACUCUAUUUCUAUAAAAAUUGAUAAGUCGCAUUUUUGUCUUCUAUUUUAUAAUUAAUUAUUUCUUAUUAUCUUAUCAAAUAUGCACCUAUGCAUAUUUGGCAUAGGUGCAUCAAGUCAGACCUUAACGUGUCCAGAAAAGAAAAUACGGGACAGGCGCGAGACACUAAUUGCCAAUUGGAAGUACAACGUGGGACCGCACAUAUUCCAUUAGCUGAUUGUUAGAUUUGAAUUGGAAAAGGUAGCUCAGCAAAAAUAGGAAACGGGCCAAUUAGGAUUUAGGAGACUUCCUACUUUUUUUGGCUUCGGUUGAAUAGGAGAUGGAAGUCAAUUGAGAUUAGAACUCUCUUUUCCUAUUACCCAUGGGAGUAGCCGUAUAGGAGUGGACAAUUACGUAGGAAAUAGAUAAGAAUUGGAGAAAAAAGUAGCAGACAUUCUUGACUACUUUGGAUUUUGACUUUUGCAUCUUAUUCUUGUGGCUUAUUCCAUUGGAUUGCUCCUCUCAAUUGAGAGACGAUGUAUGCAACAAUUAAUUCUGCAAUUUUGCAUGAAUUUUUUUCAACGGAGAUGAACUAAAUUUAUACUUCUAAUUAAGGAACAAUUGAGGAUUUGGUUCGAUUUAAAUUGUAAAAUUUAAUUGAUUUUAGUUUUUCUAUUAUUUUCUGGUAUUCGUAUAUUUUUUGCUUUAUUUUUCUUAUGGUUGUUGUAUUAUUCAAUUGUUCCGGGUCCGGAUGUUAGAUUAAUUCAAUAACCUAGAGCCAAUUAGAAUAAUUAAAUCCGUAAUUAUUUGAUUAUUCUAAAUUAGUGGCAACUGGCAUAAUCGAGAUUAUGUCAGGGAAAUAUACGAACUAAUUUGUAGACAACCAUCAUAGCGUGUUGUUUGGUUAAAAUAGGGUUUCUUUAAAUUUUAAAGUAAUUAUGAAAUUUAAUUCUACAGUCGUACCUAAGAUUAUUUUGCAAUUAGGAUAGUAGCUAACGGUCGUACCUUAACUGUCGAUAAUUAUGGAGAAAUUGAUUGUCAUCGCUUGUUUGACAAUUAUAACUUGUUUAUCAGUUUAUAUGUGAAAUUAUUCUUGCAUCGAUGAUCAAUUAGAAGAACCAUUUCUGAAGUUGCUUCUUGACUAGAGCUGUCCAAUACUGUUUGAGUUUUUAUCUUAUUGCUAUUUAAUUUUUAGUUAAUUGCAAUAUUCGAUUAACAUAGCUUAUUGUUAAUUUCCCUAAUAUCCUCCCAUAACUUGAAUUUUAGUAGAAACGAAUUACUCCCAGUUCUUGUGGAUUCCAUUCUACUUGCCUUAUAUACAAAUUAACAAAUUCUUGUGAAUAAAUUUUGGUAUAUCGGAUUUAGCAAAUUCUUCGGAGUCAGAGUGAAUCUAAUAACCCAUUACACAUCUAGAAUUCCUACUCCAGUACUAGAAUUGACGUGAAACUGCUUUUGCUCGCAACUAGGAGUUUUAUUAUCAUUAUUGCACAGACAUCGACAACUUGUCAAUUUUUUACGCUGUUGCCGGGAACUGGCGUUAGUUAAUUUGUUUCUUUUUAAGUUCAUUUCUGUUUUAAUUUUCUAGUGUCUUUUCUAGCUUAUGCCUCAGUCCUCUCGUACAGGCGAAUUGAUUUUUGACAUUGAAAUAGAAAAGACCGCGCGCUGAACGCGAAAAGAGACCAGACAGCUCACAGAAAAGCAAUCUAGUGCUGGAUCUCAGAGACCUAAUCUAGAAGUUGAAUCAACAAGUUCACUUGGUGAUAUUUUGAGUGACUCGGAUCGAGAAGAAGGUACUAUGGCUAAUGCACGAACACUAAGGGAGUUGGCUGUUUCUGAUUUAAAUCAGCAGCCUCUAUGCAUCACUUUUUCAAUUUGAAUGAUAACACCUUGUUUGAGUUAAAAUCGGGCCUAAUUCAUCUUUUGCCAUCUUUUCAUGAUUUACUAGGUGAGGAGUCUCAUAAACACUUGCAAGAGUUCGAUGUUGUCUGUAAGAGUAUGAAACCUUCCGAAAUUACGGAAGAGCAAAUAAAAAUGAGAGCAUUUUCCUUCUCUCUCAAGGACUCCGCAAAAGACUGAUUGUACUAUCUAGUUCUACGUAGUAUCACCACUUGAGAGCAGUUGAAGAAAAAAUUCUUGAAAAAAUAUUUUCCUACUUCCCGAGUUGCAAGUUUGAGGAAGGAGAUAUGUAGAAUCAAGCAACACCCAGAAGAGUCGCUCUAUGACUUAUUGAAAAAAAUUCAAGAAGCUGUGCAUCAAAUGCAACCAACACCAAAUAACCGAGCAAUUGCUUAUCCAGUAUUUUUAUGAGGAGCUCCUUUUCAGAGACAGGAGUAUCAUUGAUGCUGUAGGUGGAGGGGCGUUGGUGAACAAGACUCCUCGAGAAGCGUGGGAGUUGAUUGAAAGGAUGACCGAGAAUACACAACAAUUUGGUACAAGAGGUGAUGUCCAAAUAUGCAGAGUAAAUGAGGUAAAGACAUCAGCUAUCCAACAACAGUUGACCGAGUUAACAUCAUUUGUUAGGCAAUUGGCUGUGGAAAAUGCUCCAUAAGCCAAGGCGUGUGGGAUUUGUACUGCCAUACAUCAUUCUACAGAGAUGUGCCCAGUGAUUCAAGAAGAGAGUGCGGAGCAAGUAAACAUGACUAGUUACGUGCCCGCGCCAAAAAAGUCAUAUGACCCGUACUCGAACAUGUACAAUCCAGACUGGAGAGAUUACUCUAACUUUAACUAUGGAGGAAAUAAGCAAUCAAACUUUGCACCGAAUAGGCAGUAGGUAUCAACAUCAAUAUCAAUUUCGCCCACCACCACUCCCUACAAGCUCUAGCCCGAUUCUAGAAGUAAUGAUGAAACAAUUAAUUGCUAAUCAACAAAAGACGGAUUCUGACUUACAGAAUAUAAGGAAUCAAAUAAGACAAAUACAAGCAAUGCAGAGUCAGAUGAGUUAGAUGGCAAUAGCAAUCAACUGUCUGAAAUCCUAAGUUUACAAAAAAUUACUAUCUCAACCUGAACUGAACCCGAAGAAUGUAAGUGCAAUGACCUUAAGGAGUGGGAAGGAAAUUCAAAAACCCAAACUUGUGAUUCCGAAGGAUAAAAAUGAAGAUCGAAUUGAAAAAGAGCUUGAGGAGAAAGGAAUGAGAAUUCAAAUCCAAAGAUAAUUUCUGAUUUUAUAAUUAAAGUUGGAACAAACUCACCGCUUUUCCGAGCAGGUUAGAGAAAUCAAAGAAACAAGAUAAGGAAAAGAAGAUUCUAGAGGUGUUUCAAAAGGUGACAAUCAAUAUCUCUUUAUUGGACACGAUCAAUCAAGUGCCGAAAUAUGUUAAAUUCUUGAAAAACUUAUGCAUUAACAAGAAGAAGUUGAGGGGGGGAUGAACAGAUUGUGAUAGGUGAGAACGUUUCAGUGAUUUUACAAAGGAAACUACCACCUAAAUGUAAGAAUCCAGGUAUGUUUACUAUCUCUUGUAAGAUUGGACAUUCUAAUAUCAAAAAUGACAUGCUAGAUUUAGGGGCUUCUAUUAACGUGAUGCCUAAAUCAAUUUAUGAUUUCCUAAAUUUAGAACCUUUGAAAGAAAAGGAGAUAAUAAUUCAAUUGGCUGAUCGUGCAUUUGUUUAUCCGGAUAGAAUAAUUGAGGUUGUUUUAGUACAAGUAGAUGGAUUAAUUUUUCCUGCUGAUUUUUUUGUACUUUAUAUGGAUGAUAGAAGUGCUUCAAAUCCAUCACCUAUUAUAUUAGGAAGGCUGGAUUAAUUUUUCUUGCUAAUUUUUGUGUGCUUUAUAUGGCUGAUAGAAGUGCUUCAAAUCUAUUACCUAUUAUAUUAGGAAAGCCCUUCUUGAGUACUGUCCAAACUAAGAUUGAUGUCAGUAAGGGUACUCUCACAAUGAAAUUUGAUGGAGAAGUAGUCUAUUUUAAUAUUUUUGAUACAAUGAAACAUCCUGUUAACUCUCAUUCUGUGUUUACAAUUCAUGCUACUAAUCCCUUUGUGCAAAAAUUUUCUGAGUUCGAUUAUAAGGGUAAACUCAAAAUUGCUGCGAACCAGUAUCAUGGGAUGAAAAUACUUUAUAAGGUGAACAUGAGUAAAAAAUUAAAGAAGAUGGUUGCACUCAAUGACUAUUUGAAUCCCGAAGGAAUGUCAUUGAAUGUGAGAAAAUCUGAAUUAUAUCUAGAUUGUGGAGUGAUGUUUAAUGUUUAGCCAAAGACGUUAAAGGAAGUCGCUUAUUGGGAGGCAAUCCAAUUUCUUUUAGUGUUUGUUCAAUUUUAUUUGAUACUUUCAAUAUGUUUUCAUAGAAUUUUUUUUUUCAGAUUUUUGGUUUAAUUUUUCGUUUUUGAUGAUUAGUAGGUGUUCCCUUGACAUGACACGCCCGCGUUAAUAGGGCACGUGAUAAUGUGCAACUCUCAAGUCUUUCAUCAAAAGAGUUACCACUCUCAUGACGUGCCAGCGUCAAGUCACCUAGAGAGCUAUUCUUUCGAUCCUGGAGCGGACUGACCAACAUGACGUGCCCGUGCCAACCAGGCACGUGGUGACUUUUAAUUCAACAAGUCUCCAUCAAAAGGGUUUCCACCCUCUCAUGAUGUGCCCGUAUCAUUUGGGCGAGUGGUAAUGUGCAAUUCUCAAAAUUUUCAUCAGAAGGGUUUCCACCCUUAUAAUGCGUCCGCGUCAAUCGGGCACAUGGUAACUUUGAACUUAACGGACCUUCAGUAGAAGGAGUUUUGCCUUCUUGACAUGCCCACGUCAUGUUCAAGGGAAAGAUAUGUAUUAAAAAAAUUUUGAACUUUUUUUUCGUUUCACUUUAAAAUUUAAUUUUUAAGUUUCAAAUUUUAAAAUUUGAAUUCAAAAUUUAAAAAAAAAACUGAAACUUUUUUUUCCUUCUUCUUUCUUUCUUUUUCUUUCCUUCUUUUUAUUUCUUUCUCUUUUCUUCCUUUCCUUCUCCCCUAUUUCCCCUGGUUCUCUCUACACCGAAACCCACUGAGCGCCGCCCAUCUCCUCGCGCCGCUACUUCCUCACUCACAAAGGGAAAAAAAAAUCACAAAAACAAAAAAAGUGUGAAAGUUGUGUAAAUGCGUGUCUAAAGUUAACCUUCUAAUCUAUGGAUUUUAUGUUGAGAUUUUGAUUAAUAGUUGGACCAUUUGCUGAUAAAUGUUGAUCGAUCAUUCCUUUUUCUUAGAAUAGUUAGCCAUAAAUUGGAAUAGUCUGCGAUUUAAAAGCUAGCCGAGGUGAUAUUUCUUGGAUUUUGACCAUUAAUGCUUGAUAUGUGUUUUUUGGUAUUUUGGCAAUAAGGUAGAUGGAUCAAUCGCCAUUGUCUGGAAUUGGUGUUUAGUUGCGGUUCUCAUAUUUGAGGACAAGCAUUGUUUUAGUGUGGGAGGAAUUGAUAAGUCGCACUUUUGUCGUCUAUUUUAUAAUUAAUUCCCACCUAUUAUCUUACCGAAUGUGCAUUAAUUGGUGGAUUCUAUUCACUUUUGAGAAUUUGUGUUGAUUGCAGGGAGUUGGAACAAAAUGUGAUAAAAAGAUACAAAUUCUCCACUACAAUUGCUAUUUGGCAUAAGCGCGUCAAGUCAGACCUUAAUGUGUCCAGAAAAUACAGGAUAGGCGCGAGACACCAAUUGCCAAUUGAAAGUACAACGUGGGACCGCACAUAUUCCAUUAGCUGAUUGUUAGAUUUGAAUUGGAAAAGGUAGCUUAGCAAAAAUAGGAAACGGGCCAAUUAGGAGACUUCCUACUUUUUUUGGCUUCGGUUGAAUAGGAGAUGGAAGUCAAUUGAGAUUAGAACUCUCUUUUCCUAUUAUCCAUGGGAGUAGCCGUAUAGGAGUGGACAAUUACGUAGGAAAUAGAUAAGAAUUGGAGAAAAUCUUACUUUCGUAAGAAAAUUUGGGAAAAAGAUAAGAAUUGGAGAAAAAAGUAGCAGACAUUCUUGACUACUUUGGAUUUUGACUUUUGCAUCUUAUUCUUGUGGCUUAUUCCAUCGGAUUGCUCCUCUCAAUUGAGAGACAAUGUAUGCAACAAUUAAUUCUGCAAUUUUGCAUGGAUUUUUUUCAAUGGAGAUGAACUAAAUCUAUACUUCUAGUCAAGGAACAAUUAAGGAUUUGAUUCGACUUAAAUUGUGAAAUUUAACUGAUUUUAGUUUUCCUAUUAUUUUCUAGUAUUCGUAUAUUUUCAACUUUAUUUUCUUAUGGUUGUUAUAUUAUUCAAUUGUCCCGGGCCCGAAUGUUAGAUUAAUUCAAUAACCUAGAGCCAAUUAAAAUAAUUAAAUUCAUAAUUGUUUGAUUGUUCUAAAUUAGUGGCAACUGGCAUAAUCGGCGUUAUGUCAGAGAAAUAUACGGGCUAAUUUUUAGACAACCCUCGUAGCGUAUUGUUUAGUUAGAACAAGGUUUCUCUAAAUCUUAAAGCAAUUGUGAAAUUUAAUUUUACGGUCGUACCUAGGAUUAUUUUGCAAUUAGGGUAUUAACUAACAGUCGUACCUUAGCUGUCGAUAAUUACAGAGAAAUUGAUUAUCAUCGCUUGUUUAACAAUUAUAACUUGUUUAUCAGUUUAUAUGUGAAAUUAUUCUUGCAUCGAUGAUCAAUUAGAAGAACCAUUUUCGAAGUUGCUUCUUGACUAGAGCUGUCCAAUAUUGUUUGAGUUUUUACGUUAUUGGUAUUUAAUUUUUAGGUAAUUGCAAUAUUCGAUUAGCAUAGCUUAUUGUUAAUUUCCCUAAAAUUCCCCCAUAUCUUGGACUUUAGGAGAAACAAAUUACUCCCAGUUUUUGUAGAUUCGACUCUACUUGCCAUAUAUACAAAUUAACAAGUUUUCAGGAAUAAAUUCUGAUAUAUUGGAUUUAACAAACUCUUCGGAGCCAUGGUGAAUCUAGUAACCCAUUGUACGUCUAGAGUCCCUACUCCAGUACUAGAAUUGACGCGAAACUGCUUUUGUUGGCAACUAGGAUUUCCAUUAUUAUUAUUGCAUAAGUAUCGACAACCUGUCAAAAAUAUACCCAAGUUAAAUUAUAAUCAAACAUCUUCUCAUGUUAUUCUACAUAUGCUUAAUCAAUACUUAGAUAAAUCUUUUUCGCAACAAUACAUAAAUUGUUAACUUCACUUAUAAACUCAAUGGAUCAUAUAAAAAAAAGUUAAUUACAAUAAAAAAUAGUUGGGUAAAGAUGAAUAAAAAGAAGUAAAUACUAAUAUGAGCAUUGAAUCCAGCUAGAUCAAGACUAGCACUGGAUGCAACUGAAAAACCAGUAGUCCACAGUUUUGUAAAAUCACCCAAGAGCAAAGCAGUGGAUUUGACACCCAUUUCCAAGUCAUCUUCUUUAUCCUGUUCCCAUCAACAGGAAACUCAUUAGACUACACUUUCUAGUAUUUAUUCACCGAUGGUGUGGUAAUUUUAGCUUGACGUAGUUACGUAGUUUCAACUGCAUUAAAUAAGAAUUGAUUUCAUAUACAGUGUAUAUAGUAUUGAUGUAUGUCAUAUGUAGGAGAAAUGAAGUUCAAAAUCAAAUUAAAAUUAACUAAUAUGCGUUGAUGUCGUUAAUAUAUACAUUAUCAGUGUACACAAAAUUAACAAAAUGACAAGAUCAAAUAAUUCAUUGAUCUUAGUGCAACAAUAAAUUCAAGAGGAAGGGUUGUUUGCCCAUAUGAGUUGUGCAUGCCAAUUUCUGUCAAUUUGUAGCAAAACUGCCAAUUUUCCUUAAUAGGUCCAAAUUUAACACUUAUGUGAUUAAAUCUGUUUUGAUAUUGAAAAUUUAGGACCAAUGAACCAUGCCCCAAGGAUGGGGAAUAAAAAUCCAUUCUUCCUAUAUCAGACUCGAUCGGUAGAGAAUAUUAAUAUGGAGAUGGCCAUUCUUUUUAAAAGAUCUGACAUAUUUACACAUUUUUUCUAGCUUAAUUAAACAUUGGUAGUUGUUUUCGUUUGUAUUUUCUCUUACGAUUUCAUUUGCAAAUCCUCUGGUCCUUGUCACCGAGGAAAAAAGGGAAGUGUCCAGCCAUCAACUCUUGUUUUGAUGAGGAGCAACUAAAUUGUCCAGUCACUAAUUUGAUUCUUAUUAAUUCUCACAGUUCUUUAGUGUAUAAAAUACCAAUUUAGUUGAAGAAAAUUUGUACCUGAUGAGCGUAUAUUUUAUCAUACUCUAGAGUCCAAGAAGUGGGACAACAAUAGCAGGAUCAAGACUUCCUUUAACAGCAGCCCAUGAGUAUAAUGCUCCCCAGUUCAUUGUCAGCCCCAACUGGGCUUGAGGCUGCGACAACAAUUUUUUGUUUUUCUAAUUGACUGUGUAAAUUUUUUUUUUUAGUGCUAAUGAUUUAUGUUAAGGAAAUAAAACGAGUUGUGUACAAAUGAUACAUAAAGUUAAUUCAUAUUUAAAGUUCUCUUGUUACACAUUUGACAUAAUAACAGUGUAAAAGGAUAGUGCUUAACAUAUUUGCAUUUUUACAAUUGCAUAGGUUCUAAGCAUGAAAAGAGCUGGUAGUUCAUCGGGACUAUUACAUGGUAACCUCAUUUUAAUGCAUUGACCUCAUUUCCAACAAAAUUAGCGCAACUAAGCACAAUGAAGCAGUGAACUCAUUUCAGUUAAUUUUAUCUUUAUCAAUAGAGUGAUCUUUAUGAAUUAUUUGUACAUUCAUCACUAUCGAGUAAUAUUUUGAUGGUUUUUUUUUUCAUUUUUAGUUUUUUAAGGAUACGAGAUAAACACACUUAAAGAAGAUGUAAGUCCACUGUGAAAACUGUAAGAUUACUAUCCACCUUUUUGAAUUUCAAUACUUAUGCAGAAAAAAUAUGUUUUCUUUUGCGACAAAAACAAAAAGAAAAAAAAAAGUGCCACAUAACAGAUUCCUACUAAAAUUAAGAAAGAUGAAAUUUAUACUAUACGGGUGAUUUUUAACUAUUUACCUUAAAUUGAUUAGGCAGUCCUACAAUAACUGAAAAUUAGAUUUAAAUUUAAUAUAAAUUUACAAAUUGUAAGCUACCAUAACAUAAAAAAAAAACUUUGAAAAUAUUACAAUAUAUUAUUGCAUGGCUAUAACAUUUUAUUUAGUGCAAAAAUUGUAUCAUCAAAACAGAUAGUUUAUGUUUAAGACGUUCAUUGCAUUUAAUACAAACUUAUCUGCUUGUAUCAUAAAUACAUUUUUAACCACUUUUUUAUCUCACAUGUAUAAUGUAUCACCAAAAAAAAAAUACUACAGUAUUUUUUUCAAAAAAAUUUUCCAAAUAAUCUCCUAUUUAAACACACUCAAUAAUGUUAUUUUGGACACACUAAUAAGGAAAGACACACACAAUGUAGAGCCAUAUAAAGCUUCAAACUAAUGUGUAGAGCCAUAUAAAGCUUCAAACUAAUUGUAGAGCCAUAUACUAUGGACAUGCACCCAGUGUGUUAUUAUCUUCAUGAGUGGGCAAGUAAAGAUCAACCGCAAUGAUGAAAUCCAUAAUAGACGGCUGCACAUAAACAAAAGAAAAAUUAAAAACUAAAGUUGACUAUGCUUCAAAAAAAAUUGAAGGAAAAUUAAUACAAGUGACUUGGAUCCUUAGAAAAGGGUCAAAUACACUUAAAUAUUUAAGCCACGAACAAAUUACAAACUAAAAUGAAGGAUAAGAAAGGACAAGAGGAAAGAGAAGAUAAGUCACCAAUCCAAGAAGUUUUAAAUGAAUUACAUGCAUCUAUCAAAUACUUCCUCUUUUUUUUUUUUCGCAAAGAUGAUAAGUUAUCAGCCCAAUAAGUUUUAGAACGCAUUUGUUAGAAUUGUUAGGGUAAUCUAUUUAGACAAUAUAACAAAUCAAAAUGGACAGCCCACUUCACGUUUUUUCCCCCGUUAAUUAAGUUUAAAAAGAGAGAGAGAGAGAGAGUCUAAAAAACAAAAGAUAGUGGUGUUAUGAACAUCAUAUAUAUAUAUAUAUAUAUAUAAUAAAGUCGUAUUCUCAUAUUUAUCUCUUCAUGUUUUUUUUUCUACAUGGUUUAACAAAACGGCAAGUAGUUUCCUAUGUGGCUUGCUUCUUUUUUGUUUAGAUAUAUAUCAAUUCUUAUUUCCUAUAAGAAUUCUUAAUAUUAUAUGAUUCUUGUUUCCUACCCAAAAAAGGAACUGGAAAGUAAUGCGAUAUAAAUAAAAGAGACAUAAAUAUCUCAAUUAGAUAUAUCUCCAAAUUCAUGCCAAUAAUUUGUGUACUGCAUAGGGAAUUGAAGUAAAUAAGAAUUGUUAUCACUACAAGAAGUAGAAAAGUAACUAAUUUCAAAAGGAACUAUUAAUAACAGAAGUCAAUAUCUGAUGUUGGAAAUAGGAUUCUUAAUAAAUUUUAUUAUUAAGCGCGUUAUCAAGACAUAGUGCAUAGUACGAAAUUUAUGGAAAAGAAAAAGUUAAUUGAAUCCAAUUAACUAUAUGUAUUUGACCCGUAAGGUCAAAUAUAAAUUUCUAUUUGAGCACGGGUUUGUAAAUUCAUAUAAAUCGGUUUGUUGUUAAUCAAAACAUGCAGGUUAUACUCAUUGUUAGGUUAUAAGAUUCAAAAUACAUCUCUGCUCAGAUGGUGGGGAGUAUUUAGUAUGUGGACCCACACCAAAGGAGUCCAUGCAUUUAAAGGAUUCGAUAUAGUUGAGGUGGUCUUUUAAAGUAGGUAAAAUUUGUCUUGAGAACGCACUUUUAUUUCCACUCCUCUUGAUUAUCAGGUACAUCUUCUUUCAAUACAUUUUUUUAAAAAAAGGCAUGUUGAUCUUCAAUUGCAAAAGUUUAGUAACAUAUCUUGAAUUUUAUUUUUUAUUUUUUGUUUUUUUUGUGAACACAUAGGAUUAGUAAUAUAUCUUGAAUUAGUAGUAAAUUUCUCUUAUAUUUCACAUAUUAUAUCUCACAUAAUAUUUUUGCCUUUAAUUUUGAUAAAUUAUUAUCAGAUUGGUAGAACUGACAACCAAUACCAACCUGAAGCAUCUUCUUCCCAAAUCCCAAUCAGUAUAACAAAUGAUUCUAAUCAACACAUUUCAUAUGAAUCAUUCAUCAGAGGGUUCAAUAAAAAUCACAGAGGAAGGGAAUCCUUAUAAAAAGAUUUGCAUGAGAAGGUAGAUUUAAUAUACUAUUUUACUUUCUUAAAUUAUAAUCUUUAUGUAUUUUUAUACACAACCUUGAAUGCGAUAAAUCAUUUAUUUUUUUAUACUUAGUUAUCCUGCUUUGCUAUCAUGCAGUGAUAAUGAAAAAUCAAUAAAUACUGAUUUACACGGAUAAAUCGAGGAGAAUGUUCAAACAUAAGAUUGGGAUGUGGGAUAGCUAUAUGCUAAUCCAAAUUCCAAACCUGAUUGGGAUGUGCGCCACGUGGCUGCUAUAAUUGCUUUUAUAUAUAUAUAUAUAUAUAUAUAUAUAUAUAUAUAUAUGAAUUAGGAGAAAAUAUUAUUACAAAAUUUGUUGAAAAUCAUCCAGCACUAAUUGUUUUACAAAAUUUGGGGAAAAAUUCUAAAGAGAAUCGAUUUAAGUUCCUGAUUUAGCAAAAAAAGAAAAAAGCUAAUUCAUGAAUUACUUUAUUCUAUUCACUUAGAACCCAUUUUAUACGGGAAAAAUCUAUAAUUCACGAGCCAAUGUUGGAAAAUUCUAUAUUUGCAUAUUACUCAGUCUAGCGUGACAAAAAAAAGGCUGCUAUUAUUGUUGCGCAGCCGUUGGUAGGCCAAUAAUUGCAUAUUUAUAAAUUAAUACCAAAUUCUGAAUAGUUCCAUUCAAAAGUGAGUCUAGCCGUUGGUAGGGGGUGGACUACGGAGUUCCCUCCCCAUCCCCCAAGUUCUAAACAUUUAUGGUUUUUUCCUUUUAAAUUUUGUAAAUUUUGUAAAUUUUUAAAAAAAUUAUGUAUUUUAAAUUAUUUUCCCCCCAAAAAUGCUUAAAAAAUUUUAUGUUGAUUCGGAAGUUUCUAUAUACAUAUAUUUGGCCCCCUCAAAUUAAAAUUUCUGAUUCCAUCCCUGUCUAGUAAUGUCAAACGUCCCGAGCCCGCACGUGCCUGUCACGUGGCAUUCGCCGUAUUCUCAAAUCCCACUUAAGAAUAUAAGGCAUCAUUUAACUAAUCUAAAUUUCAAAAGUAAGAAAUAACAUAACUAAAGUAAAGUGCGAUACAAAUCUCAUAUACCAGGUAGUCUACGAAUAUCCAAUACGUUCGUACAUUUAUUUUCUAAUGGAAACAGCGGAAUCGAAAAUAAAUAAGACUAAAAACUAGAAGCAGCUAGCCUGCCAACUUCUAUUCAUUUAAAACUAAUAAAAGUCGUCUUCAGGGUCUUCUACGUAAACCAACUCAUACUCCUCAGAAUCUGCAAAGAUGGUAAAAAGUGGGUUGAGCGAUAAAUCGCUCAGUAGGUAAUAUCUACUUCUCUGUUGGACCAUGUACUCGUAAUUUUUACAGAUACAUAUAUAUAGAUAGAAAUCAAAUCCUUUGCGUGCCGAUCAUAUCCAUAAUUUUGAAAGUAACAACGUUUAUAAAAUGAUCAGCAGUAACAAGUGGCAAGCAAUUUAAAAAUAUUUUAUUGAUAAAUGAACGUGGAAAAUCAAAAAGUCAUAAAUCAUUUCGUUUCAAUUCACAAGUCUCUUCAUAUCCAUUCAUAAGUCAUUCCAUAUCAGUUCAUAAGUCUCAUUUCACAUCAGUUCACAAAUCAUUCUAUAUCAACUCAUAAAUCAUUUCAUAUUAGUUCAUAACAAGUACAUGUGAUGACCGGCUACUGAGUACUUAGUCUAGAGAUUAAACCCAUUCUAGGUGGGCGACCAAUAGGUUUCAUGACUAUCGAUUGGCCUCUUUUCAUACAUGGGUCAAUCGGCCGGACUUUAUACCAGACUACCAUGACCUUAACAAUCGGCUGGACUUUUUACCAGGUUACCGUGACCUUGACAAUCGACCGGACUCAAUACCAGACUACCAUGACCUUGUCAAUCGGCCGGAUUUUAUACCGGGCUACCAUGACGAUUAGACAGGACUAUAGCCCUUACCGUCUAUUCUAUGACUGUUUUGAGCUUUACUUGUCAAAAAUUCAUUCCACACGUCACAUACAUAAAUCUUUGAUUUCAUAAAAGAUUCAAUUCGUUUGGUAUAUAAUAACAUAUUGAAACAUUUCAAAUAAGUCACAUGGUCCAUUUUUGUAUAGUAAAAAUAUUACUUUCAUAAAUAUCCAAAUAAAGCAUUUAAUCAAAUAUAUUUCGAGUCAACACAACAAAAUAAGAUUAAAAACAAAAAUUUCCUUUUUUUUUUUUUGCACUUUUGAAAUCUCAGAAGGGUAAGUACCACCUAUCUCUGUUUGGCUGCUUGAGUGGAAUUACCUUAGGUCAUUGUAUCGUACAUAUCAAAUGCAUAGGUUCCCUAAUUAGUUGUUACUUCCUAUAGAUGCAUAAAUAUAAACCUCUAAGUAAGUAAAAGAUUCAUAUCUAGAUCAUUAUACGGACCCUAAAAGCAUUUCCUUUAAAUUGGACAAUUUCUAUCUUUGAAAACUUUCUAUUUUUAGAAAGUUUCUUAAUUUGAAACGUGUUCAUUUUGUAAAGUUUCCUAAUUUAAAGGAAAUAAUUAUUCGUAACCAUGUUUAUUAUCCUAACUACUAUCUCACUAGGUUUAUUUAUAAUUUAUGAUUAUUCAUUAUUAUUAUUAUCAUCCUCGUUGUCUCUAAUUUAUUUUAUUAUCACUUAUAUAUAUUAGAUAGUUACUAUUACCUUUCCUUUUAUUUCCACUUUUAUGCGUGUAUAGGUGUUAUUAUUAUUUAUGUAUACAUGUACAUAUGUAUGUAUUGACUUAUUAUUAUAAUUAUUGCCUUAGCUUAUUGCACUUGUAUUAUAUUUUUAUCUUCGUUUACAUCCUUAAUUUAUUUUCUCCAUGUCCAUAUUGUUAUUAUCCUUACUAUUAUUGUUUAUUAAUUAUUAUUUACUAUUAUUAUUAUGAUUAUGAUUAUUAUUAAUAUUAGUGCUAUCGUCAGCAUUAUUAUUAUUAUUAUUAUUAUUAUUAUUAUUAUUUUAAACGUUUCGUUUAACAGUUUAGAAUUUAUCUCACCCCGUCUACAUUAACCUCAUAAGGCUAAAUUAAGAUAUCCUAGAUUUUUCUUUAAAUAUCUUAGACGUAAUUCAUUAAAUAUAAGUUUUACAUGACCAAUACUUCAAUUCUAACAAUUACUUUAAAUUGGGUCCUGAAUUUUAAUAUCCAUGAUAACCUAUAAAAAUGGACUAGUUAUAUUCAAAAUUUAUUUAUUAAACAUUUAUUUAUUUUAUCUUAUAUUUGGUUAACAUCUAAAUUAUCCCUUUUUCCUCUUUGAGUUAGAGCAAUGGUUGGCCAGAAGGCCAACCAUUUCCUUUUUGACCAUAGUCGCCAGACGUUCUGGCAACCCUUUGUUUUCAUUGGUUGGCCAAAAAGGCCGGAAACGGCCAUGAUUUGGCCUCAAAAUUUUGUGCGGUUCAGAUCACGUCUUGUAACUCGAUUUUCACGCCAAAUGUGGGACCCACAAAAAUUGUUUUAAAGUUACGUCGUGUGCAAAGAAAGUUAUACCGUGUGCAAUUAAUGUUACUCACAGUGCAAAAUAUACAUAACCUGCAACCGUUUGUGCCCUUUGUCCCAAAAAGGCCAACCAUCUUUCUCCCUUUUUUUUUUUGAAAAAAAAAAACAAAUUUCCUUUGGGUUAGACCCAUCAGCCAACCAUCCUUGACUUGGUUGACCGAUGGCCAAUUCUUUCAUUGGGGUCAUUUGUGAUCCCAAGGCUUUCUGCCGUUGCUGGCUAUUGUCAACAACACAUGUGGCAUUUUUUUGUUUUUUUUUCUUUCUGUUUUUCCUCCAACAGAUUUGGGCAACCUUAUUUAACCAAAGAUUAAAAUCGAACACCCUAUUUCUACGAAUCCACAUAUGAAUCUUCCUAAAAACAUAUAUAUCUACAUAUAUAUAGCAACCAUACAUAUCCGUAAAAUUUCUAAGGCCAUUAAUGUAACUACUAAAACUUAAAAGAGAAGUUUUUGCUUGAACUCGGGACUUACAGGUUUGAGUGCUUAGUCGUCUGAUUGAUUGACGGUGUUACCUGCUUCUCCUUCUCUACUCUCUGACGGCUCUUUGUAAAGACUCACAAAAAGAGAAAUUUUUUUUAAUUUAAACUCCAAAUUUUAGCUCAUUUAAUUAUUAUUUUUUUGGCCAAAUACUCCGAUUAUUAUUUUUUAACCUUUUUAGACCUAAUUAAAUGUAUCCAUAGUUUAGUUAUAUUUUUAAAGUGACUCGUUUUGAAAUUUAAUUUCUGAAGGCUCGUUAAGUGAAAAUAGUAAAUACGCGACUGGAGUAAAUAAUCGAUUUAAGAAUACAAUAAGCUUGAAAAAACUGGAGACUUGUGCAUUAGUCUCAAAAUAGGUAUUUUUAUAUUUAACUGUUCAAAUGUUAGUUAGUUAUAUUACCGUUAUAGGAAUUUCUUAGAAAUUUCACUAUCUCGCGCUUAAAUUAGAAAUACGCGUUUUUACGCACGCGAGUAAUUGAGGAACCUUAGGCCAUUAUUUUGGGACUAUUAAGAGUGAAUAAUAAUAAUAUGAAUGCAAGUGCAUUAGAGGUUUAGUACACUAGUGCAAUAAACUCGCAAGGAAUCGAGCCGAAACGCACGCGCACGUGCACUACUUUAGUGGACAACUUUGAGUACAAUUGAGCCACACGUUUAAGCUUACCAUUAGAAGCUCAUACCAUCAGCUUUCCCUUCCUCUAAUACUCUCAAAUAGCCAAGCAGCAAGGGAAGAACAAGACCAGAAAAUUCCUCCACCCUCUCUCCUUAAUUUCUAGCUCAAUUCCCUCCAAAUCUUACAUGCAACCCUCAAAUCACUUGGUGAUCAAGAUAAGCUAGGAAAGGAGCUGCCUCUCACGGUUUUUCUCCAACUCAAAGUGACCGAAAAUUUCUGUCUUGGCUCUCUAAGAAAGAAAGUAAUAAUCAACCACUUAAUUCUUGUUUUAUGGAAGAUAAAUUACACUCAUGAGCUCUUGGAUUCUCAUGGGCAGCUAGCUUUAAAUUGUUGGAAAAUUGGUGAGUGGGUUUUAUGAAAUCCCACAAUGACUUUGAUGAUCUGGUUUGAUAGGAUGGGAUGCUAAUUGUGUUGAUUAAGUGCUAAUUUAGUAGAGUUAAGUGGCAAAAAUAAAAAGGAAGUCAAUUAAGGGAUUGCAUGUGAAGGUGCCGAUUCUGCCCUGCCAUUUUUGUGCAUUUUAGUGUACUUUCUUGAAGUCCAAUUGACUUGUUUUUGAUGCAAAUGUGAAAUAUAGGUUGUAUUUAAAUUUUCCUCCAAAUUUUACGUGAUUUGGGUGAGUGCAUGUUGUGAUUUAGAAAAUCUGACAAAACUGGGAAAUGAUUCCCGUCACUACUGGACAGCCAUUUUGUUUCGGCUAUAAUUCAUUGCUCCGAUGUCGGAAUCGAGUGCCGUUUAUGGUACUGGAAACUAGACAUUCCCAGCUUUCAUUUGGUAUAAAAUGUAACUCCUAAUUCCACCCGAGCACCCCGUACCAACUGUUUAAACAUGACUGUCCUGUUUCUCUGUUUUCUUGGAACGAAGUUCAGAAGCUACAACUUGAGGCUCCAAUUUGAGCUAGUUGUGUGCUGAAUUUCAAAAUGAUUUCUUCUGUGAAAUUAUAGCUUUAUGAAUUUAUUUUCCAACGCCACCAACCAUGCUCAAUUCUGAGUUGAAUUGAGUGAUUUGUGAUCAAAAUAUGAAACCUGCUCUGUCUUUGAAAACUCUAAAUUUUGAGCAGAAUUAAUGUUGGACUUGGUAUGGACUUGCUAAUUGAGUUUCUUGGGGUUAAAACACUUACCAAAUGUACUAUGAAUGUUCUUUAGGCUUUUCCUACACAAAUGAACCAUGUUUGAAGGAUUUUCCUUGGCCAAAUGUUUGGAAUGGAAAACAAAAAGCUCAAGACAGUUUUACCUUAGGAUUUUCCGAAAUUUUGGUUGUUUGGUUGACUACUUUUCCGAAGUUAUUUCUCCAUGAAAUUUGGUAGAGGGACAACCCUUAUAUGGUAGUAUUAUACUGCUAAUUAUGGUAUUAAUCUGAGGCCGAUUCAUGGCUCAAAUAAAUUACCAAAGUUCAUGACUUGAGUUUGAAAAACCCAUGUUUCAGAUGGAAAUUUUGGUAACUUUGAGUUGCCAUAUCUUAGUACUCAAAACUCCAUUUCUCGUUCCACUUGUUUUGUUGUAAACUUGGAUUGCGACUCUAAAAGUGGUCCAAAUUUCAAAAGCUAGUUCCGAUCAAGUGAAUUUUGCCGAAUUUUCAAAGUUGGCCAAAAACUAACCUAAAUCUGCCUUAGGAACCAAAACAGAGACUUUGAGUUUAUUUUUGAAUGUUUUCCAUUUGGAAUCUUAGAAAAGUAUAUUCUAGGAACUUUUAGUACCUUGGAAGAGAUUUUCAACGGUACCAAGUUUUCCAAUUUUCGACCUGUAAAAUGUGAGAUAUGAUUUUUCAAAUGUAUCAUAUCAAAACUGAAAUUUUUCGAAUUCCAAGGAAAUGGAGUUUUCGAGUACUCCUUAUUCCUUCGAUAUUACCUGAAUGAUUUACACUCGAUUUCCAAGAUUAAAACUAAAUUUCAAUUGUACUUUGAAACCCCACUUGAGAGCCUCGAUUUAGGAUAAUUUAGGCUUGUUUCACUACACUUUCUAAAAUUGUACUAUGGUACGAUCUUCUUUAAUAGUAGGGGUUUGUGAAUGAUAGUCUAUUAUUAUUUGCUCAGGUGCACACGAGAACCUUCAAGAGGAUCCCACAGUGAACGCCUAAAGCUCCGAGAGACUUUUCUUCCUCAUUACUUAUAUUGGUGAGUGUCAAGUGCAUGUUUACUUGCACUUCGCUUGAGAUUUGUUGCCUACAUGAACUCUACUUGAACCUGUUGUUACUUGAACUGUACUUGUUGGGGAAAGUGUGUACUUUACCGCACUUUAUCUCCUUUACUUGGAUCAAUACAUGACUUGCUACAUGAAUUACAUGAAACUGCUGGAUUUUACAUGUACAUGACCUAAAGUCGAAUGCAGAGAAAAUCUCAUCGACUAAAACUUGAUUUGUUUCUGAAGACCUGACUUGUGGGGACGCCCAAAACCCAAUGGUUAUAUCUCGUAAUCUCGCAGCCAAUCGUGAGGUCUUGGUCGGGAGAACUUGGUAAAUCGUGGGACCUGAAACUUGAUCUUUUGAGAUCUUACUUGGCAUACUGGUAUAGUAUCGCCUUUACAUGCCUGUUGGUUAUGGAUCCGAGGGGGUGAAAUGAUGGAUGGAGGGAAGUAAGUGGAGAACUACGGAUUGGAAAUACCAACUCGGUUGACGGAGAGUCAUCGCGGGAAGGUAUACGAAUGACCCUGGCAAUGCAAGUGGAACUUAACUCUUAAGAGCUACCGUAUUCUUGAAUUAUUUUUGUUUACAUUCCAUUUGAAUUGGCAAUUACUUGUACUUUAUUAUUUGACCUGUUAAUUGGGCUUGUUAUUUGAACUAUGUGAUUACAUGUGUGUCCUUGGCCUCACGAGCGUUUUGCUCACCCUGUAGAUUUGUUUUCCUUAACAGGAUUUGGCAUGGAAUGGUACUUGGAGGAACUCUUUUGAUACACUUCUGGCUCAGGGCUUUAACAUAUUUUGGGCUAGACCUCUUACUGGUUGUACUUCGGAAACCUAAUAUGUGGGUUGGAUAUUUGAUGUGCCAGGAUGUAGUAUAUUUUGGGUAUUGAUGUACCUUUUGAGAAUUUAAUGUAAUGAUUGGAUAAACGUUAUGGAUAUUGUUAAGAUUGGAAGUUUUCCGCACUUUCUUACUUAUCUAGUAUUGUUGAAUGAUUUUGCUUUAAGUUUGGAUGGAAACUGCUUGAGUCCUGCCGAGAGUUGGGCGGACGUCCCGCGGAUACCCUCUGCUUCGCCUUAGGGAGAAGUGGGAGCGUCACAGUUGGUAUCAGAGUACUAGAUUAGAUAUCUAUAUAGGAGACAUACUAGAUACUCUACCCUUAAGAUCUGAGACCGGACGACUUAGUCAUACCUUAAGUAAAAUUUGGGUGAACUAGUGACUGAGUUGGACAUACCCUAAGUGACAUUCGUGCGAGUUAGCGAUUAAGGUUCUAACCAAAAAAUGUAAUUAUUUUGCAGGGAUGGAAAAUGGAAUCGGAGCCCCGACAACUAACAGGAAUGGCCAUGCUAAUGGUCAUAUAGAACUUUCUAGGCCCAUUUACUACCGAGCUAUUAGGGGAGGAGCUCGUGUGCGAUAUACGCCUUAUGAUAGAUAUCCUCGUUGCCCAUGUAGGGUGACAUUUGCCUACCCGAACCACAUUGUGCUAGCAUUGGACGACGAGCGUCGUCAGUUGGUGACUGCCAACUUAGACCUAUAGGCAGAGGUGGAUGAGAUUAGGCAGAUGGUUAGUGCUCAGGGCGAGAGGAUCGCUGAACUUGAGAAGUUAGUACAGGGCGAUGUGGUCUCAGCUGCAGUUGUUCGUGAGAAACUCCAGAGUACUAGGGCUCGACUCACUGGAUUAGGAGAGGAGGUCCAUGAUCAGGCUUCCGGGAUCAUGGCUGAUGCCACUGAGAUGAUAGAGGAAGUGGCGGAUAUAGUUCAGAGUCCGGUCCAGGAGGAGGAUCCUGAGAAGGAUUCGGAGGAGGAUCCUGAGGAGGAGAUCCCGCCUGGCAGUCCUGCUGUGGAUUAGGCCCCUAGUGAUCGACUCUUUUGCCCUUUUGACUUGUGUAGAUAGGAUUAGUAGGGGUGAUGCUAAGUACUGAGGUCAUUAUAUUUUGCAUGACUGUGUGGCCAAUUUUUGUGGCACUUGUUUUUACUAUAGUUUUCUGUGACUAAAAGUACUGUUGUAUCCCUUGCGUACUAUAUUUUUGUAAUAUCCCCAUGACUUGCUAGUUGUAUGAACCUGAAGUGAUAAUGAAUGUAAAUUACUGUUAUUUUCAAUGCUUUCGUGAUUGGUUCUUGUUUUAAGCAUUUUUUCGCGAAAUUGAUUCAUUUCUUGCACUAAACAUACCUAGGAUAAUGGACGGACGAAGGAGUGGUCGAGACUGUGGGCAAGGAAUUGGACAGGUCCAAUCUCUUGGAGAUGACCAAGGAUCGGCAACUGGACCGACCCAAGGCCCGAAAAAUAUUGAGGAAAAUCAAGUGGCUACUGCCAUCAAUAGGAUGACUGACAUCCUAGAACGCUUAGUUGAUAGGCAAGGUGCUAGACCACUUAACCAACUUGGGAAACGGGAAAGAGGAGAGGACCGAGCCUUAGAAAGAUUUUUGAAGUUUAAUCCGCCUAAGUUCAUAGGUGAACCCGAUCCUGAGGUGGCGGAGAAUUGGUUGGAAAGAAUGACCGGUAUAUUCGCCGCCUUAGACUACACUGAGGAUAGACAAGUGAAUUUUGCCAUUUUCCAAUUCGAGAGAGUGGCUCGUGCUUGGUGGGACAUGAUAAAAGGAAAAUGGGAGAGAGUUCAAACCCCUUAGACUUAGGAGAAUUUCACGAGGGAGUUUAAUGAAAAAUUUCUUCCAUCUCUGAUUCAAAAAAAGAGAGAUGAUGAAUUCAUUAAGUUGAAACAAGGGAUCCUUAGUGUAGUUGAGUACGAAGGAAAAUUUACUAAAAUUUCUAAGUAUGCCCCUGAAUUGGUAACCAAUGAAAGGAAGAGAAUAAGGCGAUUUGUGCAGGGACUUAACGUAGAAAUUCAUGAGGGUUUGACUGCAGCCCAAAUCUCCACCUUUACUGAGACUUUAGAGAAAGUGCAACGAGUGAAAACUGCAAGAAUGCAAGUUAAAAACUUUCACAAUAGGAAGAUGAAUUUUUCUAGUCGUACUUCUGGACAGACUAGUAAGAGUUUACAGGCUUCUAAAGUUGGAAGAGGAAUGGGAAGAAUAAAAACUAUUGGACCUUCUAGGAGAGCUUUAUCCAGAAGAGGUCGUAGUGGACCGGUUCAUAUUAGGGGAGCGCCUUCUAGUGGUUCAGCCGUGACCCCUCAAGUCACUUGUGGAUACUUGGAAAACCCAACCACUUUGAGAAUGAAUGUUGGAGGAAGUUUGGGAAGUGUUUGGCUUAUGGUAGCACGGAGCACCAACUUGUGAACUGUCCAAGUAAAACGAAAAUUGGAGGUAACACUCAGAGGUCAGAAAAGUCAACCUCCAAACAGACCAGUGUUGGAGGAAGUCGACCUAAGGUACCGGUUAGGGUUUAUGCGCUGGAUCAUCAGCAGAUACCAGAUGCAACUGAGGUGGUUGAAGGUACGGUUCCUAUCUUCCACCGUUUAGCUAAGAUUUUGAUUGAUCCGGGUACGACUCAUUCUUUUGUAAAUUCUAAUUUUGUGAAUGGAAUAGACUUGAAGUCAAUUAAGUUACCUUAUGACUUGGAAGUUAAAACGCCUACUGGAGACAAAAGUUUAAUUGCUAACCUGGUGUAUAGGGAUUGUGAAAUCUGUGUUGGGGAACAAAAAUUGUUGGCCGAUUUGAUAGGCUUAACAAUUAAGGGGUAUGAUGUGAUUUUAGGGAUGGAAUGACUAGCCCGUUAUAAUGUCCAGUUAAAUUGUAGGACAAAAAUUGUAAAAUUGGGUAUUCUAGGGGAGGCAACCCUGAAGCUGGAUGUGAGGGGUAAGUUGACUUCAUCUGCACUUAUUUCAGGAAUUCGGGUUAGAAGAUUAUUAAGUAGAGGAGUUCAAGGAUAUUUGGCCUUCCUUAUCAACACCCCUAAUGAUAAGGUGAAUUUGGAAAACAUGCAUGUAAUGAAAGAUUUUAUAGAUGUUUUUCCUGAAGAGUUAGAGUCUUUGCCCCCGGAACGGGAUAUAACUUUUAAGAUUGAUUUGACUUCGGGAGUAACACCUAUCUCUAAGACGCCAUAUCGAAUGGUUCCAGCCGAAUUGAAAGAAUUAAAAUUACAACUACAGGAUUUGUUGGAAUGAGGUUUUAUAAGGGAAAGUGAUUCAUCGUUGGGAGCCCCGGUUUUAUUUGUUAAAAAAAAAAGAUGGGAGUUUGAGACUGUGUAUAGAUUACCGAGACUUAAAUAAUGUCACAGUUAAGAAUAAGUACCCACUGCCCCACAUUGAUGAGUUGUUUGAUCAAUUGCAAGGGGCGAUAGUAUUCUCGAAGUUGGAUUUGAGACAGGGUUACUAUCAAUUGAAAAUUUUGGAAAAGGAUAUUCCCAAGACUGCUUUUAACUCGAGAUACGGGCACUUUGAAUUUGCCGUAAUGCCGUUUAGGUUAACGAAUGCACCUUCUGCUUUCAUGGAUUUGAUACAUAGGAUUUUUAAAUCUUAUUUGGACCAAUUUAUCGUGGUCUUUAUUGACGAUAUUUUGGUGUAUUCUAAGAAUAUAGAGGAUCAUGAGAAGCACUUGAGGAUUGUUUUGCAAACUCUAAGGGAGCACCAAUUGUAUGCUAAGUUUUGCAAGUGCGAGUUUUGAUUAAAAGAAGUGACUUUCUUGGGACACAUAAUUUUUAAGGAUGGGAUUAAAGUGGAUCCAGCUAAAGUUGAAACUGUUUCAAAGUGGAAACGACCGGAAAACCCUACUGAGAUUCGAAGUUUUAUCGGAUUGACAGGGUAUUACCGGAGAUUUAUCCAGAAUUUUUCUAGGAUCGCUGGAUCCAUGACUGAGCUGACCAAGGAAAGUGAAAAAUUUAUUUGGAGUCCUAAAUGCGAAGAGAGCUUCUAGGAAUUGAAAAGACGUUUGACUUGGGCGCCAGUGUUAGCCCUACCGAACGGAAAAGAUAGAUUUGUGGUCUACACAGAUGCUUCCAAGGAAGGAUUAGGCUGUGUUUUAAUGCAAAAUGACAAAGUGAUAGCCUACGCCUCUAGGAAAUUAAAAUUACGUGAAGGAAAUUACCCGACCCAUGACUUAGAGUUAGCGGCUAUGGUAUUUGAUUUAAAAAAAUGGAGGCAUUACCUAUACGGGGUGACAUUUGAGGUUUUCACUGAUCACAAAAGUUUUAAGUACUUAUUUUUUCAGAAGGAGUUGAAUUUAAGGCAACGUAGAUGGAUGAAAUUUCUAAAAAACUAUGAUUGCACGAUAAAGUAUCAUCCAAGAAAAGCCAACGUAAUGGCUGAUGCUUUAAGCCGUCAAGUACAAGUGGUCAGAUUGAUAAUUAAGGAGCUUCACUUGUUAGAAGAAAUUAGUUAUUGGAAUACUCGAUUGGAGUCGAGAAAAAUAGUCCUUGGGAACAUUGUAGUGAAUUCCACCUUGAUGGGACGUAUUAAUGAGUCCCAGGAAAAGGACCCUGAAGUGCAAAAGUGGGUAGAAAGUGUCAAAGAGGGAGAAAAAUCUGAUUUUAGUUUGGGAUCAAAUGAAAUUUUGAAGUUUCAGAAUCGGAUAGUGGUGGCAAAAGAUGAAGGGCUUAAGAAGGAAAUUUUAGAGCAGGCACACCGAUCGAAAUUUACGGUACACCCUGGAGGGAAUAAAAUGUACCAAUAUUUGAAGAGAUUGUAUUGGUGGGAGAGCAUGAAAAAGAAAAUUACCCAAUUUGUCCAAACCUGUUUAAUUUGUCAACAAGUUAAAACCGAACAUCAGAAACCAUCAUGACUUUUGCAACCUUUGGAAAUACCUGAGUGGAAAUGGGAGAACAUCACUAUGGAUUUCGUAUCAGAAUUACCGAGGACACAAAGAGGCCAUGAUGCUAUUUGGAUAAUAGUGGAUAGAUUGACUAAAUCGGCUCAUUUUCUACCGAUUAACAUGAGGUACCCAUUGGAGAUGUUGGCCAAGUUAUAUUUGGAUGAAAUCAUUAGAUUACAUGGAAUCCCUGCCAGUAUCAUGUCGGAUAGAGAUCAAGAUUUGUUUCGAGGUUCUGGCAAAAAAUGCAAGAGGUGUUGGGGACUAAAUUGAGUUUCAGUACUAUUUACCAUCCCCAAAUUGAUGGACAGUCCGAGCGGAUGAUUCAAACCCUUGAGGAUAUAUUGAGGACGUGUGUGUUGGAUUUUGGGGAGAGUUGGAACAAGUAUUUAACUUUGGUAGAAUUUGCUUAUAAUAAUAGUUACCACUCUUCUAUUCAAAUGCCCCCGUAUGAAGCACUUUAUGGUCGAAAGUGUAGGUCUCCGAUUUGUUGGGACGGAGUAGGUGAACGAAAGAUUUUAGACCCGACUAUAGUGCCGUGGGUUGAGGAAACCAAUGAGAAAGUAAAGUUAAUACGUCAGAGAAUUCAAACCGCACAAAGUCGUCAAAAGAGUUACACAGAUAACCGGAGGAAGGAUUUAGAAUUUGCGGUUGGAGACCUAGUAUUUCUCAAGAUCAUACAUUUGAAAGCGAGAUUGAUGUCUGGAAAGGGGAAGAAAUUACAACUAAGAUUCGUAGGGCCUUAUAAGAUUAUCCAGCGUGUGGGGAGUGUAACCUAUAAGUUGGAAUUGCCACCAAGUCUAUCUCGGAUCCAUAAUAUUUUUCAUGUAUCCAUACUUAAGAAGUACCAUCCAGACCCUUCUCACAUUUUGCAAUCGAAAAAUAUUGAGAUUAAUGAAAUUUUGACCUAUGAGGAGAGACCGGUGAAACUUCUGGAUAGAAAGGUGAAAGAAUUAAGAAAUAACCAGAUACCUUUAGUAAAAGUUCUCUGGAAGAACCACGAGUUAGAGGAAGCGACCUGAGAAAUUGAAGAGGCAAUCCGAGGAAAGUAUCCAGACCUGUUUGCAGAUCAAGGUAAAAUUUCGGGGACGAAAUUUUCUUAAGGGGGAGAGGAUGUAAAGACUCACAAAAAGAGAAAUUUUUUUUAAUUUAAACUCCAAAUUCUAGCUCAUUUAAUUUUUUUUUGACCAAAUGCUCCGAUUAUUAUUUUCUAACCUUUUUAGACCUAAUUAAAUGUAUCCAUAGCUUAGUUAUAUUUUUAAAAUGACUCGUUUCGAAAUUUAAUUUCUGAAGGCUCGUUAAGUGAAAAUAGUAUAUACGCGAUUGGAGUAAAUAAUCGAUUCGAUUAUACAAUAAGUUUGGAAAAAUUGGAGACUUGUGCAUUAGUUUCAAAAUAGAUAUUUUUAUAUUUAAGUGUUCAAAAGUUAAUUAGUUAUAUUACCGUCAUAGGAAUUUCUUAGAAAUUUCACUAUCUCGCGCUUAAAUUGGAAAUACGUUUUUUUACGCACGCGAGUAAUUGAGGAACCUUAGGCCAUUAUUUUGGGACUAUUAAGAGUGAAUAAUAAUAAUAUGAAUGCAAGUGCAUUAGAGGUUUAGUGCACUAGUGCAAUAAACUCGCAAGGAAUCGAGCCGAAACGCACGCGCACGUACACUACUUUAGUGGAUAGCUUUGAGUACAAUUGAGCCACACAUUUAAGCUUACCAUUAGAAGCUCAUACCAUCAGCAUUCCCUUUCUCUAAUACUCUCAAAUAGCCGAGCAGCAAGGGAAGAACAAGACCAGAAAAUUCCUCCACCCUCUCUCCUCAAUUUCUUGCUCAAUUCCCUCCAAAUCUUACAUGCAACCCUCAAAUCACUUGGUGAUCAAGAUAAGCUAGAAAAGGAGCUGCCUCUCACGAUUUUUCUCCAGCUCAAAGUGACCAAAAAUUUCUGUCUUGGCUCUCUAAGAAAGUAAGUAAUGAUCAACCACUUAAUUCUUGUUUUAUGGAAGAUAGAUUACACUCAUGAGCUCUUGGAUUCUCAUGAACAGUUUUAAAUUGUUGGAAAAUUGGUGAGUGGGCUGUAUGAAAUCCCACAAUGACUUUGAUGAUCUGGUUUGAUAGGAUGGGAUGCUAAUUGUGUUGAUUAAGUGCUAAUUUAGUAGAGUUAAGUGGCAAAAAUGAAAAGGAAGUCAAUUAAGGGGUUGCAUAUGAAGGUGCCGAUUCUGCCCUGCCAUUUUUGUGCAUUUUAGUAUACUUUCUUGAAUUGCAAUUGACUUGUUUCUGAUGCAAAUGUGAAAUAUAGGUUGUGUUUAAAGUUUCCUCCAAAUUUUACGUGAUUUGGGUGAGUGCAUGUUGUGAUUUAGAAAAUCUGCCAAAACUGGGAAAUGAUUCCCGUCACUACAGGACAGCCAUUUUGUUUCGGCUAUAAUUCAUCGCUCCGAUGUCGGAAUCGAGUGCCGUUUAUGGUACUGGAAACUAGACAUUCCCAGCUUUCAUUUGGUAUAAAAUGUAACUCCUAAUUCCACCCGAGCACCCCGUACCAACUGUUUAAACAUGACUGUCCUGUUUCUCUGUUUUCUUGGAACGAAGUUCAGAAGCUACAACUUGAGGCUCCAAUUUGACCUAGUUGUGUGCUGAAUUUCAAAAUGAUUUCUUCUGUGAAAUUAUAGCUUUAUGAAUUUAUUUUCCAACGCCACCAACCAUGCUCAAUUCUGAAUUGUUCUGAGUUGAAUUGAGUGAUUUAUGAUCAAAAUACGAAACCUGUCCUGUCCUUGAAAACCCUAAAUUUUGAGCAGAAUUAAUGUUAGACUUGGUAUGGACUUGCUAAUUGAGUUUCUUGGGGUUAAAACACUUACCAAAUGUAUUAUGAAUGUUCUUUAGGCUUUUCCUACACAAAUGAACCAUGUUUGAAGGAUUUUCCUUGGCCAAAUGUUUGGAAUGGAAAACAAAAAGCUCAAGACAGUUUUACCUUAGGAUUUUCCGAAAUUUUGGUUGUUUGAUUGACUAUCUUUCCGAAGUUAUUUCUCCAUGAAAUUUGGUAGAGGGACAACUCUUAUAUGAUAGUAUUAUACUGCUAAUUAUGGUGUUAAUCCGAGGCCGAUUCAUGGCUCAAAUAAAUUACCAAAGUUCACGACUUGAGUUUGAAAAACCCAUGUUUCAGAAGGAAAUUUUGGUAACUUUGAGUUGCCAUAUCUUAGUAUUUAAAAUUCCAUUUCUCAUUCUGCUUGUUUUGUUGUAAACUUUCAAAAGCUAGUUCCAAUCAAAUGAAUUUUGCCGAAUUUUCAAAGUUGGCCAAAAACCAACCUAAAUUUGCCUUAGGAACCAAAACAGAGACUUUGAGCUUAUUUUUGAAUGUUUUCCAUUUGGAAUCUUAGAAAAGUAUAUUCUAGGAACUUUUAGUACCUUGGAAGAUGUUUGUAACGGUACCAAGUUUUUCAUUUUUUGACCUGUAAAACGUGAGAUAUGAUUUUUCAAAUGUAUCGUAUCAAAACUGAAAUUUUCGGAAUUCCAAGGAAAUGGAGUUUUCAAGUACUCUUUAUUUCUUCGAUAUUACUUGAAUGAUUUACACUCGAUUUCCAAGAUGAAAACUAAAUUUCUCUUGUACUUUGAAACCCCACUUGAGAGUCUCUAUUUGGGAUAAUUUAGGCUCGUUUCACUAGACUUUCUAAGAUUGUACUAUGGUACGAUCUUUUUUAAUAGUAGGGGUUUGUGAAUGAUAGUCUAUUAUUAUUUGCUUAAGCGCACACGAGAACCUUCAAGAGCAUCCCACAGUGAACGCCUAAAGCUCCGAGGGACUUUUCUUCCUCAUUACUUAUAUUGGUGAGUGUCAAGUGCAUGUUUACUUGCACUUCGCUUGAGAUUUGUUGCCUACAUGAACUCUACUUGAACCUGUUGUUACUUGAACUGUACUUGUUGGGAAAAGUGUGUACUUUACCGCACUUUAUCUCCUUUACUUGGAUCAAUACAUGACUUGCUACAUGAAUUACAUGAAACUGCUGGAUUUUACAUGUACAUGACCUAAAGUCGAAUGCAGAGAAAAUCUCAUCGACUAAAACUUGAUUUGUUUCUGAAGACCUGACUUGUGGGGACGCCCAAAACCCAAUGGUUAUACCUCGUAAUCUCGCAGCCAAUCGUGAGGUCUUGGUCGGGAGAACUUGGUAAAUCGUGGGACCUGAAACUUGAUCUUUUGAGAUCUUACUUGACAUACUGGUAUAGUAUCGCCUUUACAUGCCUGUUGGUUAUGGAUCCGAGGGGGUGAAAUGAUGGAUGGAGGGAAGUAAGUGGAGAACUACGGAUUGGAAAUACCAACCCGGUUGACGGAGAGUCAUCGCGGGAAGGUAUACGAAUGACCCUGGCAAUGCAAGUGGAACUUAGCUCCUGAGAGCUACCGUAUCCUUGAAUUGUUUCUGUUUACAUUCCAUUUGAAUUGGCAAUUACUUGUACUUUAUUAUUUGACCUGUUAAUUGAGCUUGUUAUUUGAACUAUGUGAUUACAUGUGUGUCCUUGGCCUCACGAGCGUUUUGCUCACCCUGUAGAUUUGUUUUUCUUAACAGGAUUUGGCAUGGAAUAGUACUUGGAGGAACUCUUUUGAUGCACUUUUGGCUUAGGGUUUUAAUAAAUUUUGGACUAGACCUCUUAUUGAUUGUACUUCGGAAACCUAAUAUGUGGGUUGGAUAUUUGAUGUACCCGGAUGUAGUAUAUUUUAGGCAUUGAUGUACCUUUUGGGAAUUUAAUGUAAUGAUUGGAUAAACGUUAUGGAUAUUGUUAAGUUUGGAAGUUUUCCGCACUUUCUUACUUAUUUAGUAUUAUUGAAUGAUUUUGCUUUAAACUUGUUUGGAAACUGCUUGAGUCCUGACAAGAGUUGGGCAGACGUCCCGCGGAUACCCUCUGGUUCGCCUUAAGGAGAAGUGGGGGCGUCACACUCUUGUUCUAGGAGAGGCAGACGAAAGAAAGGUGGGGUUUGUGUGUUAUUUUUCUUCCCAUGCUUUCGAUAAAAUCCUAAACCCUGGCACUAACCACUAGUAGGUGGUUUAGAAAAGAGUUUAAGUUUAUUAUGAACUCUUAUCCCAUCCUAUAGUUAUUUUAUUUUAUUUUAUUUUUUCUUUUACCCUAGUAAUUUUAGAUUCUUAAUUAAUUGGAAAAUAAAAACAAAAUAAUAUAAACAGGUGCCAAAAAACGUGGAUUUUAUAUUCUCCCCCCCUUACAAAAAGUUUCGUUCUCGAAACUUACGUACCUUGAUAAAAAAGAUAUGGGUAUCUAUUCCGCAUGUCCUCCUCUAACUGUCACGUUGCCUCUCGUGGUGUAUGGUUCGUCCAUUGCACCUUCACGUAGGAUAUGGUCCUCUUCUUUAGAACUUGAUUUUUCCGAUUUAGGAUUCUUAAAGGAACUUCCUCCACUGAUAAAUUACUUCUCACCUCAAUGGGUUAGUCCUCCAAAAUAUGGCUCGGCUGUGAUACAUACUUUCUCAGUUGAAAAAUAUGAAAAAUAUUAUGUAUCCUUGCCAAAGGCGACAGGAGAGCCAACCGAUACGCUAGAGGUCCAAUUCUAUCUAGUAUUUCAUAAGGUUCUACAUACCUCGGAUUUAACUUGACACUUCGUCCAAAUCUCAUCACUCCCUUGGUAAGGGAUACUUUCAAAUAUACCUUUUCUCCCGGUUGGAACUCCAAAGGUCUCCUUUUUGAAUCCGUCCAACUCUUGUUUCGGUCUUGAACUACUUUUAAUCUUUUCCGAAUAAUCUUAAUUUUCUCUAAAGUUCGUUCCACCAAAUCGAGGCCAAUGAUCAGUUUCUCACCUACUUCAUCCCAAUAUAAGAGAGAUUUACAUUUUCGCCCAUACAGUCCUUCAAAUGGUGCCAUACCUAUCCUGCUAUAAUAGUUAUUAUUGUACAAAAAUUCCAUUAGUUUCACCAACCUAUCCCGACUAUCCGAGAAGUCUAGAACACAAGCUCUUAGCAUGUCCUCCAAUGUCUGUACGAUCCUUUCUGACUAUCCAUUCAUUUGGGGGUGGAAAGCGGUAUUUAAUCUUAGGUAUCAAUCCCUAUAAUCUCUUGGUAGGAUGACCAAAAUCUAGACGUGAAUCUAGGAUCCCGAUCCGACACUACUCUCACAAUUCAUUUUUAGACUAGAUAUCACAUUCUCUACCCUUUUAAAGGUUUCGUCCUCGAAACCUAAAGACAUAAACAUCAAGAUAAGUUAACAAAAUUUCCAAUGUUCUUGCAAUAUAUCUUGGGAAUUAUUUCUACAAUGUCUAAAUUGAAUUUUCUUAUUUAAUUCUAUCAAACUUCUGCUGCACACUCUUAUAUUUCUCAAUACCUCCCGUCUUCAUAUUUAUAUAGUUCAGAUGAACAUAAUAUCUCUCACAAAUCUAGCAUUCUAAAUAUCAGCUUAUAAUGCUUUAUAGAGAUCGACCUAUAGAAAGGAUGCCGUAGACAAUAACAAUACCAUUUUUUCUCUUGUCACACAUUUUAUCAUCAAUUACUUAUCCCCUAUUGCAAAAGUAAUCCUUAUCUCGAUAUAUGGAUUCAUGCCCACUGUGUUUGUAAUUGGUAAUGGAAAUCCCUUAUUUCCCUCAAGUCUCAUAUCUAUCUCAUUUCAAAUUUCAAAAAGGUCAAUAAUUCCUCAAAUAGCAUCACUCAUAUUUCCAAAUCCUAUAACCUGAGUUAUUAUACCAUUAAAUGCCAUGGGAAUCUGUGAGGACCCGUAAAUUUUCUUUAUUUCACAAUAUUUUAUUUUAUUUUUCUCGCAUGCAUUUUCUUCAUUAAACCCUAUUAUGUUGAUUUUUCAAAGAUUUUUAUAAGUGAGUAUAGGUUUUAAAUCAUUUUCAUAAGAUAAGUUAGUUUAUGAUAAGUUUGAAGUGCGUUAUAGAUGUGGAACCCGCUAGUACGCUAAGUGCGAUAAAUUUUUAACAAUUAAUUGAAGUUUUGUAUUAAGAAAUGUUAUUUUACCAGGUGUUAGGAGAUAAUUCAAGGUUAACUAGAUUAAUUUGUAUUGGGAGACAAGAGGAUGAGAAUAACGUUAAAAUGUGCUAGGUGUCGCGAUCCGAUUGGAGUUGGACUUUGGCUUAACUUUCUUACCUUUACUAAAUACCAAAAAUUUGACCAAAAAUAUCCCAUUUCUUCUUCCUUCUUGGCCGAACACUUGAGAGAAAGAAAGAGAGGAAAAGUUUCAUCUUCAACUUCAAACCCAAGCCAAAUCUUAAGUUCCAACCAUUAGAAUCUCAAAUUACUCCAUAGAAAUUUCUUGCUAGGGAGGAUUAAGGAGGUUGGUGGAGUUGUUUUGGAAAGGGAAAACUAAGUUGCUAGCUUUCUUGAGUUUUUGAGGUAAGUUGCUAAGAAAGUUUCCUCUUUGCUUUCAUAAUGGUUGAUUAGUGGGUAGUAAUGGCUAAAUAGAUUAUUUUGUGGAAGAUUUUAGGGUUUAAAGUAGAGUUUGACAAAUUUUAGAAUUUUUGGUGAUUUUUCUGAUUUUAUAUGAUGAUUAUUGUUGGGAUAUGGAAUGAUAGCUUAAUAUGAUGUGAAAUGAAGCUUUGGUAUGUUAGUUUUGAUUGGCUAAAGAAAUUUCAGCUAGAGUGCAUAAAUUCCAGUUUAGGGUUUCAUCUUACCCUGUUCUGCCCGGUUUUGUGCGGCCAUGAUAGAGGCUGAAUCAGCCUUAGGUUAAAACAUGAAAGUUGUAGAAAAUGAUGUUUUAUAGUUUUCUAUAAAAUUUCAGCUCAAUCCGAGCACAGUAGCUUUUGAAAAGAUAAAAAUACCCUGACUGCCAUAGGUAGAGCUCUGUGGACAGUGUUGACAUUUCACCAAUCUGACUGCGUCUGUUCACCUUGAUCCGUACUGAAUUAGCAUUUGGCCAAAACAUAGAAGUUGUAGUGCUAUGUCUUAGCUUUCCAACGGAUAUGAAAACGCCUCAAUUGGACUUCGGUAACCUAAGUUAUUGUCGUUUAAGUAUCGUGCAGUUAACUAGCCUGAUUGUGAGACUCUAGUUCUAUAAUUUGAAAUUUUGAUCUAGUUACACUACGAACUGGACUGAGUGGUCUUCAUCAAAAUUGUAGCCCUUUAUCUUAGCUUCGAAAUGGUAUAAAUUACACACCAAUUCGAUAAGUACAGCUUCGGUUGUGUCCGAUACGCUAAACGACGUCAAAUCUGUCUUUUGUUUUAUGACUUAAACUUCAUUUCCAGACAUUUUUCUAACUUGAUUUUGUACUUGUACGACAUUGAGCCUAUUGAACGGCUAUUGAAAUGAGAUUAUUUUGUGGGUGACAUUGAGGCUGAUUUGAGGAAAAAUGAAGCCAUGGUGGCUGGAAAAGUAAGGAAGUUUAGGGGGAAAUGCUGUCCAAUUUUCUAGACCGUCUGAUUCCUUUAAGUUGGAGUUGCAUUGUGGUAGAAUGAGGGGGUUUGGGGUUAUUUGUAACCCUCGUACCAACUGUUAUCCGUCUGCUCAAAAAAUUACAUUUUAUUCUUUUGUACUAGUAUAUAACUUGGAGAGGCACCCGACUAGUAAUCGAGCCUCAAUUGUGCAUCCCGUUUACUCGGUUUUAGAUAUGGAAACUUCAACUACUUUACCUUUGUUAUUCUUAGGGUUUCACAGUGAUUAAAGUCACUUUGGGUGAAAACUUUUGAAGUAUCCGUACUUGAACUGGUAAGUGUACCACUCCUCUUACUUGUUGUUUAACUUGGUUUCUGUACAUGCAAUCUGUGAUAUGAAUGACUGUACUAUCUGUUUAUUCUGUUUGAGAUGAGAGUAUACUUUAUCACACUCAUUCUCUUGUCUGUUCGUAUGUCAAUUUACUAUGUGAAUUUGAAUAUGUUAUUUGUAUCUGUAUUUGUUCUGACGUCGUGUGGAAAUUUGAAUCCAACGACCCUUCUGUGACCUUUGAGUUCAAAUCCUAUGGUUAAUUUACUUGAGUCGAGCCGGUAAGGGCGUGGUCAAUUAGAUAACGAACCACAGUAGUCUGUUCUAGAAAUCUUUGGAUAUUGAGACUCUUAAUUCCGGUAUACUCGAGUAUUACCACUUCUGUUUCUGUUGAGGUGUUCGUCCCCGGUAAGGGGUAUGUUUGGUGGACAGAAAUUUGUGUAAAGUAGGGUCUACGGAUAUGUUGGUUCUAUUUACGUUGAGGGAGAGUCAACGGGUUCGGAUCAAGUACUGCAAUGGAAAUCUCGUUCCUGAGAGCCACUUGUAUCCUUUCCCUUUGAAUCACUGUGUCUAACUGCUUUUCUUUAUAUCUGGUAUGUGUAUCUGAUUGGUUAAACGUGAAAGGCCAUGAUUUUAUCCCUUUAUGUUUGGUACCUUAUUGAGCGUAAGCUCACCCCUUCCUGUUAUCUUUGUUUUUCCUUACAGGGGACAAACUUGGAAGUCACGGUUUUGGAAGAAAGGAGUCAAGCUAGUAUAUAUGUCAUGUUGUUAAACUCUUUUGAAAACGAAGCCCUAAUUGUAUUUUGUGUAGUAUGAAUACUUUGGAUUGUACUUUUUGUUAAUUUAUUCAAAACUCCGAUGUAAAUACAUGUUUAAAAGUUUAACCUUGUCUAUUAAGUAUAUUCAUUGAGAUGUUACGCUUCUAUGGCUUUGGUGAGUGUUUAAUCGAUGUCCUGUUUCACCACAUGAUUUGGUAAGUUAUAUUGGAGCUUGGCGGUUUUCAUUUGUUCAUUUUCUUUGGGUCCUAUAGCGCGUACUAUAGGGUUUGUGAGAUUCGACUCCGUAGUCCCGGCGAGAGUUGGGCAGGUGGUCUAUCGAAUCCUUUGGUUCGCUUUAGGAAAAGGUGGGGCCAUCACAGAAUCUUAUUUCCUUUGGUAAUUUUUUUCUAGCUCAAUUCAAUUUUCGAAAACAUUAAUACCUCAAAAAUCAUUUCACAAACUUCUUAAUCAUACAAAAAUAUAGAAAAUUUUAUACAAAAAUUAUCACCAAAUCCUCAUAUUGAAAUAUAAUAACUUUGGUAAAAUAUUUAUCUAUGUGUAGAAUUUCAAACUUAUACAGGUUUAGAAAUUGAAAGUGUUUUGAAAUACAUAAGUCAACUAACUAUACUUCUUAUAGCAUUAGAAUUUAGAGUACAAAGAAAAUUUAUCAAGAAUUAUUGUUAGAUUUUUCUAUACGAUAAGAAUUUUUUUUUUUUAGAAUACUUUUAUCUAAAGCACUUUUUGAGAUUGAAUGAGGAUAAAAAAAACAUUUUGCAUAGGAUUACAGGAUAUAAUUAUUUAAUGUAUUUAGACUAUUCUUUUUUUAUAUAAAUAUAUGCAUAUAUAUUUAGAAACUAUAUUUACCAAGCAACUGUAAGGUAAAGGCACAUAUUUAAAAAAAUUUGAUUAAAAACUAUUUGUGCAAAUAAAAUUUUAGUUUCACCGUUUAUUCAUUUUUAGGGAAAAAGUAUGUAAAAUUAUAUGUUGUAAGAAAUUUAUAAAAUAUGUAUUGCUUGAUCAUGAUGUAAUAAUACCCGAACUAAUAAUAUCAGCUAGUUUAAUAAAUGUCUUGAGCAUUAGAUCUAAUUUUUGUAAUCCUCAAAAUAAGUCAACAAAAUUCCAAGAUCCAACAUGUAUUGCACGCGUUCGAUGACAUCAUAUUGUUGAUCAUUCAUACUUUCGUUGUGCACUCUAAUUUCCUCAAUUUUUUCAGUUUUUUCUAUGCUAGACUUCAAUUAGACAUAAGAUUAUCCAUAAAUCUGACAUCCUAAAUGAUAACUUGAAAUGUACUAUAGAGAUCAAAACUUACAAAAAAAAUACCCUAAAUACCCUUUUAUUAUUAUUAUUAUUAUUUUUUGUAAGUGUCAAUUAUAUCUGGCAGGUGGGCUUGAUUACCUUUUCAACUUAACAUAUGCAGAUAGUCACCACUUACUUACCAAAAGUAAUCAUCAUCUCAAUACCUGAGGUCAUUCCAGUAAAUUCGUAACCUAAAAUUCUAAUACCAUUAAAUGUUAUGGAGUCACUUAUUUUCUUUUAAUCCCUUAUCCAUUUCAUUCCAAUUCUCAAAAUCACAAAUAAUUUCAGUAUCUUUACACCUACUUCCAACUAUCACAACUUGAGCUUUGAUACUACUAAAAAGUCACAGCAAUCUCUUAUUUCUUUUGAUUUAUUUUUCCAUCUCCUUUCAAUUUGCAACAGACAAUACUUCAAAUACACAUACUAUUUCCUACACGUCCGAAAUCUUAAAUUUAGAGUGUAUUACCAAAAUUACAUCCAAUAAAAGGACAUCAUAAACACCAAUCGUACCAUUUCAACUAUUCGCACAUGCAAAUUUUCAAGCCUAUUUAUUUAGUCACAAUGGAUCAUUUCCUAGGGUAUACUUUAUCUUUCUCCCUUUAAAAAAAAAAAAAAACAAAUUUCCUUUGGGUUGGACCCAUCGGCCAACCAUCCUUGACUUGGUUGACCGAUGGCCAAUUCUUUCAUUGGGGUCAUUUGUGACCCCAAGACUUUCUACCGUUGCUAGCCUAUUGUCAGCAACACAUGCUGGCAUUUUUUUGUUUUUUUUUUUUUUUCUGUUUUUCCUCCAACAGAUUUGGGCAACCUUAUUUAACUAAAGAUUAAAAUCGAACACUCUAUUUCUACGAAUCCACAUAUGAAUCUUCCUAAAAACAUAUAUAUCUACAUAUAUAUAGCAACCAUACAUAUCCGUAAAAUUUUUAAGCCAAUUAAUGCAACUACUAAAAAUUAAAAGAGAAGUUUUUGCGUGAACUCGGGACUUAAAAGAGAAGUUUCUGAUCGAUUGACGGUGUUACCUGCUUCUCCUUUUCUACUCUCUGACGGCUCUUGCUCUAGGAGAGGCAGGCAAAAGAAAGGUAGGGUUUGUGUGUUAUUUUUCUUCCUAUGCUUUCGACAAAAUCCUAAACCCUGGCACUAACCACUAGUAGGUGGUUUAGAAAAGAGUUUAAGUUUAUUAUGAACUCUUAUCCCAUCCUAUAGUUAUUUUUUUUAUUUUUCUUUUACCCUUGUAAUUUUAGAUUCUUAAUUAAUUGGAAAAUAAAGACAAAAUAAUAUAAACAGGUGCCAAAAAAAGUGGGUUUUACAAGCAAUGAAUACACACAUUCUCUCUCUAUAAAGUGGACUUACCAUAUGUUAUAUUCCAUCAUAAUUAAAAGCUUUGUCAACUUAUGAAAAAUUUGGUCGAUGAGCAAAACCUUAGUUCGUUUACUAGGAGAAAAACUCCAUAACAGAGUUGCAAUUGAAUGCCAAGGAAACAAAGUGCUUGAAAUCCCGUUAUUGUGCCAGAUGCAAGAGGCCUUCCUUUGGUUCUCUCAACCUGAAGUACACAAGAUUUCUUUGUUAUGCAAUGGAUUGCAACGAACGGUAACUCAUUAUUUGGACGCUAAAAAUUAUAUUGAAGAAACGAGCACAGCAUAAGAGGGAAAAUAUCAAAUGUAUAAUUUGAUAUUUCAUCAAAAUUCUACUCCAGUUCUAAGUUCUAACUGGCUUUUGGAAUUUGUGAAAUUCGAUAAUUCGGUAGAUAUGGUUUUGCCCUGGUACCGGUUAUUUGGGUGCUCACAAAAUUCAUGGCCUUGUGUUGGCUAGAUGCAUACUAAAUUUUUCCUUCCUAACUUUCCCAAGGAUAAUACUAUGAUGUAUCAGAAUGACCAAAAAAAAUAAUUGUUUCUCAAAAAGAAAAAAGAAAGGAACAUUAAUCAAAUUGAAAGCCAUCAUCACCUGUGCAUCAAAAUCCUUAUCAAAGUAAUCGUUAAUGGUGCAUGCAAUAUUUCUUGACAGGAAAGACACCAAGAAAAAGAAUGCCAACAUCUUCACAACAGGAAGGCUGCCGGGGUUCACUGCAAAAGCAAGCGACCGCAUACAUGGCCAUGCAAAUCGAAACGUUCCAAUCGGCUUAUCCAAGCGUAUAAGUAGGCAUAAGGCCGAGCUUUUUCAGGAAAUACCCAUUGAAUCCAAGAAGAAGAAGAAGCAGGUUUUUCAUCUUCAUUUUCCCCUAGUGACUUUGAUGAGGUUGAAAAUUGAGGAGCUUGAUUAGAUAAGUUGUAACCUCUACCAAGAAAUCUGGUGCCUUUUAUCCAAGAACGUUUGAAGGUGGCUGAGUUUUCUACACUGGAAGGGUUGAAUUUGGAGAUUGAUUUGGCUGGCUUGAUGGAGGAUUUGGGGAGAGCUAUGGAGGGACGAGGCUGAUGGUUGAAGUUGGAGAUGGGAUAAAUCCCAGAGAAACUUUAAGAGAAUGCCAUGAGAUUGGAAGCUUGGGCCAUUUUGUGAUGGUCCCCAAGAGAAACUGUUGUGAGAGGAUGGUAUGGAAGCUUAGGAGAUUAGCUCUACAAGUACAUAGUUACCAAAUGAAGAUAUGAAAUAAAUAAACAGAUGAAAAUUAUUUAGAAGAAAGUUUGCUAUGUAUUUUUUUGUAUGGCAAACCCUAUAUACAGCGGUGGGAUGCCAGUCCAAAUUUUAUUAAUAAUAAUAGAAAUUCACAGAAUACAAUGAGGGUUGAUCAAGUGUAAUGUCUCCUCUCACCGGUCGAGGCAAAUCACGAAACAACUCAUACAUUGUAGUUACUCCAGAAUCAACUCCAACAUUGGACAAUCUAUCCGGUUUGUUCGCAUCUCGAAAGCAAUGUGAUACCUCCUUAAAAAAACUUCUAGCCUGCAACAAUUCCUGUAAAUCCCUCUGCAAGCUCCACGGACAUCUCGCUCUUCCUUGAACAAUCUGGACAAGUACCAAGGCAUUUGAUUCUAAGUGCAAAGUAAAAUACCCUUGAGCAAGAGCUAACUUAACACCAUAAAGCAGCGCUUUCAACUCUGCCCGUACACUUGACAUCUCCCAAAAAAACAUGAGAAUCCGAGGAGAAUACCCAAAAAAAAGUUUGCCAUGUAUGAAAUCACUUUCACUAGUAGGUCAUUGAUUUUGCUAUUAAAAAAAAAACAAAACAAAACAGUCCAAUGAAUGUUUAGAUUUUGUAAUUUGGGUCAAAAGGUACAUGGUCAAGGUAAUCCAAUAGUUUAACUAAUUGUAGCAAAUGGAUCCACUUUGUACCUUUUGUGUUUAUUAAAAUAGGACGCAUGUGUGGGGAGCUCGCAACCAAAGAAUUUUCAAAAAAGAAGCAUAUGUGGAUGUGGAGGCUGCUACUUCAGGGUCUAGAGGUGUAAAAAGAAGAAAAUUGGCAGCUUAGUUUGGAAUUUGGACCAAAGGCUUUUUUCUUUCUUUCUUUUUUUGGGUAACCAUUGUUGCCGUGAAAAUUUCGAGCUUAAACAAUGUAUCAUAGGAGCAGAACAAAACUAAGAUUAUUCGUGGGUAAAAAUUAAUACGAAUGCUUUGAAUUGUUGGAACAAACAUAAUUCAACAUCUAAAAACGAAGAUAAGACGUUAUUAAUGGGAGAAAUGAGGUAUCACAAAUAUGUGAGGUUCACUCACUAAUGGAUGGUGCAGUUUGGAUCCAUGAUCUCUACAAUUGUUGAAUCUGAGUAACUGCAAGGUCUAAUUGAUGGUUCAGAUCUGAGUAUCGAAUUAAGUGUUGAAAAGAAAUUUUCUUUUAGAGUUUCAGCUUAGAUUUAGGCUAACAUAUAUCAGCUCGCUGAAAUUUCAAGAGAAACCAAAUCCCUGCACUAAUAUUGUUUGUUCCAAUGUUGUGAUCCCUCCCGAAGCUUUACCAUGGCUUGACCAUUUGUCAGGAAUUAUAGUAUUACCUUAGAAUUUAAUAUAUAUUUCAACUCAACAAUUUGUAGUUAAGAAAUCGUCGAAAUAGACCCAAUGAUCAGUUCUUAGAAUCUUGCCCAUCGUUAGGUUAAGAAUUCGAAUCCUAUGCUUGGCAAUCGGUGUGGAGAGGAGUAGAAGGGUAAAAAGGACAAAAAUAUAUAUAAAGAAUUAAGCACAUUGGGACAUUUAAAAGUUUGUGAAAUUUUCAGUUUAUCUUCUUUAUCAUACACUCUUUGAAAAUUUAAGAAGCAAAUUGGGAGCUUUAUAAUCUGAGUUCUGGGAGAUGGGAGUCCUCAAAUAUGAAGGAAUUUUUGCAUGUCUGUUUUACACAUAAAUGACGUUUGGUCUUACCACAAAUUUGCUGCUCCAAAAUUUGAUUUCGGGAGCUUUGCUUAUCCUAAACCGAAGAAAUCAUAUAUCUCAUAUACAUGCUUUAAGAUUUUGGAAUCUACAAUUUUAAUGUCGAAGCAACCUAUUUAAAUUCUCUUUUUUCUUUCCUUUUUGCUGAUGCUCUCCUUUUCUUGUUUUCCUUUCCUUUUUUUUUCCCCCUGUCAUUUUUAGGUUUUCAUUGACAUGAAAUUAGAUAACUCACAAUUGAUCCAAAAAUUGGGCUUUUUGUUGUGUAAGGAAUGAAAACAAAGAUAGUAUUGUGCCUUUUAGCACUUAUGCUUAUGGCAUUUUCCAAGAUGAAGAGUGGACCGAACUCACUCUUCUGUGCUAAUAUGCACGUUUGUAUGAAUUGGACCCUUCUCUAAAUACUGUGCAUAUUUUGAUAUCAUCUAUAAAACUAUCAACAACAAAAAAAAAAAAAAAUCCAAUGAUUGGGCACCCAUGCACAUAUGACACUGAUAUGAAGCUUCUUAACUGGAUUUCAAAUAAGGUGCUUCGAUGGUAAGAUGUUUUCCAAAUAUUAUAAUUCUCAGUUAAUUUCUUGUCAUUUCAAAAACUUUUUCAUCUCUAACAUACAUCAUAUUAUCAAAAAAAAUUCUAUAAUAAUUAUUCUGAAUAAUAUUUCAAAUAAUCUCGUAUCCAAACACACCUUUAAAUGAUGGCUUAUGUUUUGUUUGAUCUUAAACUUCCUAUUGGAACUGUAAGCACAAUAUAACCAUCAUCCACCUCUCCCUUGUGCUAUAUUUCAAUUCAAUUUUCCUUUGCCUGCAAAGUGAAAAAUUACCACAGAAAAUAAAAACAUUUGUGGAAUUUAUGUAAUUUGUUAUUUAUUGUCACUUAUGCCACGCAAACGAGUAAAAAUUAAGCCUUGUUAAAAAAGAAAACCAAAAGACAAAGAAAAGAAUCUUAAAAAGGAAGAGUCCAAAUGAAGGAGCUGGAAAUUGAGCGUAGGAAAAAACAAAAUGUAUUAGAUAGUUGUAAAUACCUUAAUUUAUGACAAGAGUCUUCCAAACAGAAUUGCACUAAAGACAAUAGCACCAAAAUAUCUAUUUGAUGCAAAUCUGUAGAGUGAAAGGAAUAAAAUAAAACUUAGUUAACAGAUUAUAAUAUAAAAUUUAUUCAUAAGAAAUAGAUGCCAAGCAUAGACUUGUGGAUUGAGUUUGUGUAUCUUUAAUUAGACCUUCUUUCUGAAAAUAGGCUAGAUCACAUUUGGGGCUGGAACCAUCAAAUUUUGUUAAAGCACUUUUUCAUUUUUUUUCCAUAUGCCAAGGGAUGUCCAUUUUAAAAGAAUGUUUCUCCCUAUGGGUUAAAAACCAGAAAUCCUAGAGGCUCUAUCUAUAAGUAUCAGUAAGAAGGAUUUUUUUAAAGAGUUUAUUUUAGUGUUAGUGGAAGAACUCAAAAUCGAGAACUUUCGUUUAUACUCCCUCUUCUCGUAUUACUCAACUCAUCCCUCCUUUCCCCUUAGUAAGAACGAUUAGACUACAGACACUAAUACAAUUAGACUUUUUGCCCAUCCAACAAUUCAUGUAUAUUAUCUUUACAAGCUUCAAAAAAUUUAUUAACAUCUGCCCUGGACUUACCAACAAAGAAAAGUAAUUAGCUCAAAAAAUUGUAAGAGAAUGUUCUAUAGCUAUAGGCAAAACAUUAUGAUUUGAGGGCGUGAAAAUUAAAUUUCAGCCUCUUAUAAUUUCCUAAGAGCAUCAAUUAUGGAAAGUCAAAUAAGCAUUAAUUUGAAUUCCUUCAAAUUUUAUCUUCAUUAAUAAUUACCCACUUUCUGAAACAAUCUGCUGGGUUUGAUAAGUCAACAUCCCAAAUCUGCCAAGCUAUUUGACCUGAUGCAGCCGCUAGCAAUACAAAAAAUGGCCAUCCUGUGACACUCGAAAAAUAUAUAAACCUAAAAAUUAGAAUAUCCAAAAAUAAAAUUAAAAAUAAAUAACGCUUCAAAAAGAGCUGAAAAAAUGAGGAACAUAUUGUUGGCCAAAUCUAGAGGUUGAAUAACCAUGAACAUAAAAUGGUCAAAGGAUUGGGAAUAAAAAGUUAAUUUUAGUUAUAAAUUGUACAGAUGAUAUUUAAAAAAAAAAAAAAGAAUUAUCAUAAAUUAUAGUUAACUAAAGAUGAACGAAUAGAAGUAAAUACCAAUGUGAGCGUUAAAUCCAGCUAGAGCAAGACUAGCAAUGGAUGCAACUCCAAAACCAGUAGUCCACAAUUUUGUUGAAUCACCUAAUAGCAAAGCUGUAGAUUUAACACCCACUUUCACAUCAUCUUCUUUAUCCUGUAACCAUCGGCAGCACAUAUGGGUACAAGUCUGUGAGUCAAUGGCUCAAUGCAACCACUAGGAAAAUCAAACUACUCUUUCUAAUAUUGCAUCUUAGAACUUAGAAGACGCUCUUAAAAUUCUCUGCGUUAUCAGGUGUAAGAUUCGAAUUCUGAUAAUUGGGGAUGGGAAGGGGGUGGGAAGGAUGAGAGGGUAAAAUAAUAAUAAUAAUAAAAUAAUUGCGUCAAUAUUGCCAACUAAAUGGAGUUUAAUAGCUUCAAAGAUAUUGAACACGGUAGAAAUAUAUAUAUGCAUUGAUCUUCGGCCAUUUCUUGUGUCACACAUUUUUUUACCAUUUGAAUCUUCGUCAUUUGAAGCGUAUAAAGUAUUUUGUUGGAGAACUUAGGAUCAGGAGUCUCUAAUGUCACAGGCGGGUGAUCGCAGGGUACAGCAUAGAUACUAACAUAAUAGAUGUAGGAACUAAAAUAAUAAAUGCAGAUACUUACACAAGAACAUGUAAAAACACAACAAAUUUUUGGGUAUAAAUUUCAAUGAGAAAGCAAAUUUGUUGUGUUUUUUCACUUUAUUGUAUGAGUAUCUAUAUUUAUUAUAUUAAUAUCUACAUCUAUUAUACCUACAUCUACACUUCACCUUGCUGUCAGUUAGGAGUGUGCAUCGAAUUCGAAAUCGAUAAUUCGGAAGUUUGAAUUUGGAAUUUUUCGAAAUUUUGGUUUCUAAUAAUUCGACUGAAUUCGAUUUCGAAUUCACCAAUUUCGAAUUUGAAUUCAUACCGAAUUGAAUUCGGAAUUCGGUAAAUUCCGAUUUCACCGAAUUCGGAAAAAUUUAUAUAUUAUUAUAUAAUAUAAAAUUUAUACUAUAUAAUAUAAUAUUAUAUAAUAUAAUAUUAUAUAAAUUUUAUAUAAUAUUAUAUAGUAUAAGUUUUAUAUUACAUGUAUAAAAAAUAUAUUUAUAUAUUAAAAACGAAUUUGAAAUCGAAAUCGGAAUUUGAAUUCCGAUUUCGAAUUGUGAAUUCGAAAUUGAAAAUUCCAAUUUGAAAAACUCCAUUACCGAAUUUGAACCAAAUUCGAAAUAUAUGAAUUCGGAAAAUCCGAAUUCAAUUCCGAUUCCCGAUUUACUGAUUUCAAAAAUUCCGAAUUCAAUUCGAAUUCGAUCGGUAAAUCGAAAUUUUUCGAUUUUGCACACCCCUACUGCCAGCAGAGGUCAGAUCCGAGAAUUUGUACCUGAUGUGCAUAUAUUGUAUCCACCUCCAGUGUCCAGAAGAAGCAAGCAACGAGGACCGGGAAGACAAUAGCAGGAUCAAGACUUCCUUUAACAGCAGCCCAUGAGUACAAAGCUCCCCAAUUUGCAGUUAAACCAAGAUGGGCUUGAGGCUGCAUUGAUAUGUUUGAACUUCUCCAUCAGCCCAAUCUUUAUUAAGUAAAGAAUAUUUGGAUCUUGGUUAAUAAUUCAAUUUAAUACUUUAAUUUAAUAUGUUCAGACAUAUUUGAUAAUAAAAAAUAGAACGUCUUAAUUAAUUAAUAGAGUCUAAAUUGUUUAGAUAAAACUUACUCAAACAGUGAGUGAUAAGCUGUUCACUUAUCAAUAUAAAAUACUUUCAAAUGUUAAGAUUUUAGUACCUAACAAUUCAAUAAUUUAACAAAUUUAUAUUUCAAUUUUAUCAAAUGCACCGUCAGACUUAAUGAAGUUCGCAUUGGACAAUCAUGGGGUCUAUCCCAUGGUAACCAACUGUUACUAAUAAAAAAUUUUUGCACAACUAUGCAGUGUGAUCUUUUUUUUUUUUUUUGGGAUAGCCAAACAAAGUGAAUGAAAACUAAGAGAUGUUUUUUAACAUACUAAGACAAUGGAAAUAAUAGGUUUUCUUUUCUUUUUUUUUCGUGUUUAGCAGGGUAAGAAGUGGGGAUGUAGAUGGAAAGAUUGCAAUUCAGGACCUCUAAGCAAUGAAAACAUCAGGUAAAAGGAAGAGAGAGAAAAUAAAGAAAUAAGAAAUGCAAUCAUUAUUUUAUAUUAUUUAUGUACGUUUGAGUUGCAUAAUCGUUCUUUGCAUAUAUAGCCAAUUAUUUUUCUUUCUUUUAGAUGAUCUCAUUUUGUUAUUCGGCUUUAGUUGUAUUUACUUCAACUUACUAGCUAAAGCUUUACCUACAUUGUUGAAAAGAAAACUAAACAGAGUGAAUGAAAACCCAGAGAUUGUUUCAUGAAAAAAAAUAAAAGAAUAAGAUGUUCGAUCAUUUUUUUUAAUUUUAUUUGUGUUCACUUUAGUCGCGUAGUCAUAUUUUGCAAAUAAUUUUUUUUAGAUGAUCUCAUUUCGCUAUUCAGUUUUAUUUAUAUUACUGAUCUGUGGUUUUCCAUCACUUCUGUAUAUUCUUGGCUUGGACCAAAAUAACUACACACAUUCAAUUGAUUUUUUUUUUUUUUUGGGGGAGGUUUGGCAAGAAAGAGAACUAAACUAAGGAAUAGUGUUUUUCCAAUUUUUUUUUUUUAUUAUGAUGGUGUAGAAUGAUGUAUAAUUUCAGCUUAUGGCACUUUGACCAACUAGAUGAAUUUGAAAGCUUUAAAAAAAUUGAAUAAUAUGGUACUGAUAAGCAAAAUUUAUACAUAAUGACCUUUAGAUUAGAUUAAUUAAUGUUCAAGAAUUUGUGUGUGUGUGUGUGUGUGUGUUAAGGUAAAGUAAACUAGAGGCUGGUCUAACUAAUCACUAAUGUUGGAAAAUUUUUAUUAUUUUUUAUAUUGAGGUUGCAAAUUAGUGUUUCUUUCUAUGCACUGCUAUUAUUCCACUUUUAGAAAGUCUAUGUGAAAUCAAGGACUUAUCUAUUUACAUAUCCGGAAAUAGUUUAUCUAAGGAAGAUUAAUAUAAUAAUUUCCUUAACCUGAAAUAAUUGUCUUAAUACUAAUAUCAUUCUAAAAUAAUUGUCUUAACCUGAUUAGCCAUGCCUAGAAAUAUGUAAGCUAUAAUAAUUAGUGAAUCAAAUUUUUAGAAAAUCAUAGAGAACAUUGCAUCAAUAUUGUAUCUAGUGCAAAAGUGUUUCAUCCAAACAAAUGUUUUAGUAUUUAAAGUUUCAUUUUAAAAAAAUUAAAGUUAUUGUGGACGUAAUUUAUGAGAUGGAAAAAAAGAUAACAGAUACAAUACCCAAUAAGUAAUUCUCUUCAUGAGCGGGUAAGUGAAGAUCAACGGCAAGGAUGAAACCCAUAAAAUACGGCUGUAUAUAAACAAAAGACAUAAAUCAACACGUUAGAAUUUCAAGAUGCCCAAAAAAUAGAAAAAGAGAAAGAUCAAAAUUAAUAAUGAAUUAGAACCUAAGCAGCAGUCCAGUAUAUAUUUAACACGAAAUUAAAAUGCAGGAGGAGAAUAUCUAGUUUUGUUAUGGUAAUUAACUUGAUUAUCAAAUACUUGUAUCGAUUAGUUCGAUAAAAAAGAAUAACUAUUUGUAACUCACAACCUAACUUAGGGUCCAUUUGGGUUGCGAUGGUUUAUUGAAAAGUACUUCCUUAAUAGAACUUUUAAUAAAAAUACUUAUUAACUGUUUAAAUGCUUUUAAAUGUAUAUUUGAAAACAUAAUUCAAUAGGUACUUAUUGUAUUGGAUAAUGUGUAAGUUAAAAAUUAUUAAAAGUAUUUAUCUCUUUAUUGGGUUCAUAAUAUAGGAUAAGAUAAUUAAAUUUGAUAUUUUUUUUAAAUUACAAAAAAGUUACUUUAAAAGCAUCAAAUUUGAAUUUUUGCUACAAGUGCUUUUAAUAUCAAAAGUUCUACUCCUAAUUUUAUAGGAUGUUGUUUAUCAAAAACUUUAAAAGUACAUUUAACACUUAAAAAUACCUUCUUUUUUUUUAUCAAAAGUAUCGCAACCCCAAAUGAGGCAUUAGACAUAAGCGACUUGUUUUCGCGUAAUGAUGUUAAUUGUGCUGCAACUUAAGUCAUUCAAUCAUUUUUUACUUUCUUCUACUUACUUAAAUAAAGUGAAAGAGUUUAAAACGUAAGGUCAUUUACCAAUUGCCUUUUCUUUCAAAAAAAAAAACAUAGUAACAUUAUAUGCAUGUGCCUGCUUGUCUAGAUAUUGUCUAGAUAUUGGGGCCGCACCGACUCGAAUAUUUGGAUUCUAGUGAUCUGCUUGGCCGGUGUGUUCUUUGAGUUUGUAAAUAAAGUUUUAUUAUAAUUUACUGUAGCUCUCUCAGGAAAAAUACAGACUCUGACAUUUGUCUUUAUCUUUCUUUUCAAAACAACCCCUGUCCCUCAUCACACCACCCAUCACCCACCAUUGGUAACCUUCGUCGCCCAUCAUCACUACUCAGUUUUGUCAUCAGUAUCUUAUUUAAAAGUUAUUAAAAAAAUGUAACUAGUUUGAUGUUUGGUCAGAAUAGAUGUGAGGGACAAUAUCAAUAGUUCUUCGGAUUCGCUGAUGAAAUAUAAAGGGAAAUGAAUAAGAAGAAAAAAGAAAAAAAAUUAUAAAACCCAUCUUUUGUAUAAGUAUAAUAAAUAAGAGAAUUUUAUUAGAAUGUUAAAACUAGUAUUAUCAUUUUGGACGAGCAACCGGAGGUAUGUAUAAUUUUUAAAAUAUUAAGUGGGCUAAGUGAAAUUAUUGAAAAUCUCAAUCACCUACUCCUUCCGUCCCACUUUGAUAGUCCUGUAUUCCUUUUUCAUCUGUCCCAAAUUAUAGUCCACUUUCCAAUUGAAAAAUGUAGUUGUAUUUUAAUUUUUCUAAAAUACCCUUAUUCAAUGUAUGUAGUUGUUACUAUAAACCUACCCUAUUUAAUGAGAGUUGAUUCUUUUUUUACCAUCAAUUCAAGUUUCCAUAAAGUUGUACCAUAUUUAAUGUGAGCAUAUUUUAGAAAAAUAGCAAUCUAAAUUUACCUUUCCAACAAAAUUAACUAUUUUUUUUUUAAACUGUGUGAAAAAAGAAACAGAACUAUCAAAGUGGGACGGAGAGAGUACUUUUUUCUUCAAUUUUUUUUCCCAUUUGAAAACCACAGACAGAGGUAGGUUGCGUCUACGGUGUAAAGUUCACCUUUCUGCCCAUAGUAGGCAGAACCAAUGCAAGGAGGCCAGCUGUGCUAUGUGGGACGCACAAAGAAGGACAUCCGAGCACCACUGGAAAAAGCCGGUUUGGCUUGGAUGAAAAACGUUAUAUAUUUUAAAAUUACAAUAAAAGUCCUCUUAAAAAUUUGUUCAUCAUCUAAUGCCCAAUACUUAUAUUUGAUAAAUUAAAAUAGUUAAUUAAAUAUUCUAUUAUAAUAUAAACAACUAUAUGUCAUUGAGUUGAUUGAAUGAUAUAUUUUUUUUUGUAUUUCAAUUAGUUGUCAAUUAAGUUUCAAUUGAAAUAAAUAUUUUAUAAUUAUUUAAAUUAUCAAUUUAAGAUGAGCAUAAAUAUAAAUACAUUAAAUUGUAUUAUUGAAAUAUUUGAUUUAAUAUAAAAGAAAGACAAGAAGAAAUACAAGAAAUUUUUUAAAAAUUCAUGUGAGUCCUUUAUAUUAGUAAUCACAUUUACUUGUUAUUAUAAUUACAAUGCCUAACCAUAACCAAUUGAAACUCAUAUACACAAGUCAUACAACAAUUUGCGUUAUAAUGUUUACAAUUAAAGUUACUAUACACUCAAAUUAAAAUUCUCUUUUUUCCACUAAAAUUUCUUUUAUAUUAAAUCAAAUAUUUCAAUAAUACAAUUUAAUGUAUUUAUAUUUAUGCUCAUCUUAAAUUGAUAAUUUAAAUAAUUAUAAAAUAUUUAUUUCAAUUGAAACUUAAUUGACAACUAAUUGAAAUACAAAAAAAAAAAAGAAAAUAUCAUUCAAUCAACUCAAUGACAUAUAGUUGUUUAUAUUAUAAUAGAAUAUUUAAUUAACUAUUUUAAUUUAUCAAAUAUAAGUAUUGGGCAUUAGAUGAUGAAUAAAUUUUUAAGAGGACUUUUAUUGUAAUUUUAAAAUAUAUAACGUUUUUCAUCCAAGCCAAACCGGUUUUCUCCAGUGCUGCUCGGAUGUCCUUCUUUGUGCGUCCCCACAUAGCACAGCUGGCCUCCUUGCAUUGGUUCUGCCUACUAUGGGCAGAAAGGUGAACUUUCCACCGUAGACGUAACCGACAGAGGUAUGGGUGGCUAUUUAUUUAUUAUUCCAGACCUGAAUGAGAUGUGGCUGCUUUAAUUGCAUGUUUCGGGAAACCUACUGCGACCUGAACUUUGGCAGCUAUUAAGACUGCAGUUGGCGGUUUUCGACCGCAUGGGGAUGCUAAAAUGACGACUAAUUAAAGAAGAAUAUCAAGAGACCACCUUGCAUGGAUAUGAGACAUAAGCUAGAAGAUAAGUCGGAGCUGAGGCAAAAAUGAAACAACCCUAAGUGAUUUCAACAUGUAAUUUUGGUCAUUUAACUAUUUAAGUCUUAACUAACAUAUCUUACUAUUGUACCUACACAAUUAAAGAUUCUAAUUUUCGGAUUUGUCAAUUAUUACAUUAUAGUUUGUCCAAGACAAGAAAAGGAAAAAAAAAAGAGGAUAACCAAAAAAAAAGGAGAUGGAAGAGUUUAGGUUAUUAGGUUAUUUAAUAGAACGCGUUGCAGCUACUUACUAUGGGCCUGUUUGGAACCUGAGUUUUUUGGGAGUUUGUCUAAAACUUUACUGUAGUGUACUGUAAAAGUUUUUGAAAAAAUUUUAUAGAAGUUUUUGUAAGGUAAAAAACUUUUUUGUAGAAGUUUAUGAAAUGUUACUGUAGAUUUUUUUGGAUUAUUUUUAGAUGUAUUUUUAAAACAUAUUUUUGAGUAUUUUAUAAUUUAUAAUUUUUGUAUUUUUAUAUUUUUAAACAUUUAUUCAUUUAAAAUACAUUUAUAAAUAUUUAGAAAUAAAUAUAUUUACAUAUUUAUAUAAAAAUAUAUAAAUGUAUUAUAUUAUAUAUAAUACGUAAUAUACAUAUAUUUAUAAAUGUAUAAAUGUAUAAUUAAUAUAAAUGUAUAAAUUAUAAAUGAAUAUUAUAUAAAUGUAUAAAUUAUAAUUUAUAAAUGUAUAUGAUGAUUAUGUAUAAAUGUAUUAAUAUAAUUAAUAUAAAUGUAUUAAUGUAUUAAUAUUAUGUAUAAAUGUAUAAUUAAUAUUGUUUAUAAUUUAUAAUUUUUAUUGUUUAAAUAUUUAUAUGCAUUUAUGCAUUUAUAAUACAUUUAUAAAUAUUUAUAAACAAAUAUAUUUAUAUAUUUAUAAACAAAUAUAUUUAUAUAUUUAUAUAAAAAUAUAUAAAUGUAUUAUAUUAUAUAUAAUACAUAAUAUACAUAUAUUUAUAAAUGUAUAAAUGUAUAAUUAAUAUAAAUGUAUAUAUUAUAAAUGAAUAUUAUAUAAAUGUAUAAAUUAUAAUUUAUAAAUAUAUAUGAUGAUUAUGUAUAACUGUAUUAAUAUAAUUAAUAUAAAUGUAUAAAUGUAUUAGUAUUAUGUAUAAAUGUAUAAUUAAUAUUGUUUAUAAUUUAUAAUUUUUAUUGUUUAAAUAUUUAUAUAUAUUUAUGCAUUUAUAAUAUUUAUAAAUAAAUAUAUUAUAUAGUUAUAUAAAAAUAUAUAAAUGUAUUAUAUUAUAUAUAAUACAUAAUAUAAAUAUAUUUACAAAUGUAAUAAUUGUAUAUUAUUAUAAAUGAAUAUUAUAUAAAUAUAUAAAUUAAUAUAUUAUAAAUAUAUAAAUAUAUAAUAUUAUGUAUAAAUGUAUUAAUAUAAUUAAUAUAAAUGUAUAAAUGUAUUAGUAUUAUGUAUAAAUGUAUAAUUAAUAUUGUGUGUUAAUAUUAUGUAUAAAUGUAUUAUAUUAUACAUAAUACAUAAUAUAAUUGUAUAUAAAUAUACAUAAAUGUGUAAUAUAUAUAAUAUGUAUUAUAUAUUUAAAUGUAUAAUAUAUAAUAUUUAUAUAAAUGUAUAAUUACAUAUUUAUAUUAAUAUUAAUUUAUAUGGUAUAUAAUAUUUAUAUAAAUAUAUAAAAAUAUAUUUUAAAUAAAAUAAAAUAUUUAUAAUAUGUUUAAAUAAAUAUAUAAUAUAUAUAAUAAAGUUUUGAGGGUGAGGGACUCAAAAAUUCAAAAAAAAUUUUUGAGGUUACCAGCGGCGUCGGAAUACGUGACCGGCGCUGGAAGAGGUGGUGGAGGCGGUGUCUGGUGUGGUGGGUUGGGUGAGGGAGGAAGAAAAGUUUUUGAGAAAUUUUUUGUGUAUAGAUUUUUGAAGUGUGUGGGUAAAAAACUUUAAAAAGUUUUUUGGGGUUCCUGUAGCAAAAGUUGUUAAAAAACUAGUAGCUAAAAAACUUGGUAAAAAACUAGGGUGCCAAACAGGCCCUAUAUCGUUAAGCCAUGUAAGAAAGAGACAAAAUAAAAGGAUAAUGAUGAGAAUAUAAUUUUAUUAUAUAUAUGAUAGUUGCAAAUUGACUAUGCAAAGCUUUUUUUUCCCCUUUUGUAGCAAAUUUCUUAAACAGGGAAGGGGUGUCACCUUGAAAAUUUAUGAAUUAAAAACUUUUUUCUAAAAAAAAAGAGAAAGGAGUUAUCUAUGGGAGUAUAAAUUGUUGAAAAUCUAAAACUCUUGGUAAGAAUUGGUCAUUUCAAUAUAGCUAGGGUUUUUGCCUAUAAGUGAAUUAAUAGGUUAAUACUGGUUGCUGCUUGAGGCCUAGGACAAGAGUCAAAGGGGGCGCAUACCUUAGUUCAUUUAUUGGGAGAAAAAUUCCAUAUCCGAGUAACACUUGAAUUCCAAGGAAGCAAAGUGCUUGAAAUCCCGUUAUUGCCCCAGAGGCAAGCGGCCUUCCUUUGGUUCGCUCAACCUGCAUUAUAGAUAUGGGUUUGAGAGGGUAAUUAUCUUUUUUUUUUUUUUUUUGGAUUUGGUAACUAAGCAAUUAUAUUUAGAACAAUAAUUGCAUUAGAGACAAUGUGAUUUUGAGCAUAGAAACAGUAUAAAAAGUUUGAAAAUUUGAAAGAAAUCAUGAGAACGUUCAUUUUUCUAGGGAGGAGGCAGUAUGUAUAUUUAAAAUUUAGGGAUAAUGUUAGGAUUAGACUGAUAGGUUAAUUUAUAUUUGAACACUAUAUACUCCCUUCAUCCUACUUUGAUAGUUUUAAUAUUUUUUUAACAUGGUUUUAGACAAGUUAAUUAAUUUUAUUGAAAGAAUAAAUCUAACCUACUAUUUUCUUAAAAUACCCCUAUAUUAAUAUCAGUAGUAUAAGUAUCUAUUAUACCUUUUCAUUAAUUGUAACAAUAAUAUUAAUGAAUCGAUGCACUUAAUGAGUAAGGUAGGUUAUAUUCAUUGAUAACAGAGUACAUUAAAUAAGAGUAUUUUCAAAAAACUAAAAGUUAACUAUAAUGACUUGUUGAUUGAAUCAAAAUGGGUUGGGAUUCAUAGCUAUAUUUCGUACAUCUUUAAUACUCCCUCCGUCUCACUUUGAUAGUUCUGUUUCUUUUUUCACACAGUUUAAGAAAAAAUAGUUAACUUUGUUGGAACAAUCAAUUUAGGCAGCUAUUUUCCUAAAAUACCCUCACAUUAAUUAGAGUACAACUUUAUGGGAACUUGAAUUAAUGGUAAAAAAAGAAUCAACUCUCAUUAGAUGGGGUAGAUUUAUAGUAACAAUAACUUACAUUAAAUAAAGGUAUUUUAGAAAAAUUAAAAUAUAACUAUAUUUUUCAAUUGGAAAGGGGACUAUAAUUUGGGACAGAUGAAAAAAGAAAACAGGAUUAUCAAAGUGGGACGGAGGGAGUAUUAAGAAAAGGCUAUGACAUUGCUAUUUAAGUGCGUUCUCCUAGGGCGAAGAGAAGGAAGUCAUGGAUAUGGCUUCCGAUCGAAGAGAUAGGGUCAGCUUGUCUUCACCUAUCGGCUAUAUAUAUAUAGAUAUAUAAUGAUAGUACUCACGGCGGUGAGUAAUUCAAUUCUAAAGUUUAGAUCUGACCUCUUAGAUUCGUACUAUCUAUAUCAUAAUUUUUAUAAGUGAUAUAUUUAUCCCCCAUAUAUUUAUAUGUAUGUAUAUAUAUAGAUAUAAAUGAUAGUACUCGGGACGGUGAGUUAUUCUAAAGUUUAGAUCUAAUCUCUUAAAUCCAUAUUAUCUGUAUCAUAAUUUUUGUAAGUGAUAUAUUCAUCCUUGAUAUAUUUAUCCCUCAUAGAUAUUAUAUAAUGAUAGUACUCAGGGCGAUGAGUUAUUCUAAAGUUUAGAUCUGACCUCUUAGAUCUAUACUAUCUAUAUCAUAAUUUUUGUAAGUGAUAUAUUUAUCCCUCAUAGAUCCGUACCAAGGGGAAGGGAAAUCCCACUUAUUUGUGCCUCUCUUUAAUAUUCCGUUGAUUAUCUUUAUUUUCUGCUUACUUAAUUUAUAUAUAUUUGUUUGUAUUUAUCAUAUUACAAACAACCACCACCCCUUACAUAUAUAAUAAUAGUAAUAAUAAUAAAAGCAAUACCGCCCUUGUAUAGUUUUUUGCUUCUAGAGAACAAGAAAAUAGAUUACAUUUUAGUUUUUACCAAGUGAAAACUGAAAACAUGUGAAAUCGUCAAUUGCUCUGUAUCUCCAAAUGAAAAGUAAAAACAUAAUUUAAGAUUCAGUAAUCAAAUGGAAAAGGGAUCAUCACCUGUGCAUCAAAAUCCUUGUCAAAAUAAUCGUUAAUGGUGCAUGCAAUAUUUCUUGACAUAAAAGACACCAGGAAAAAGAAUGCCAACAUCUUCAUAUCAGGAAGGCUGCCGGGGUUCGCAGUGAAUGCAAGCGACCACAAGCAUGGCCAUGCAAAUAAAAACGUCCCGGUCGGGUUGUCCAAGCGGACAAGGUAGGCAUAAGGCCGGGCUGUUUCAGGAAAAACUGCUUCAAUCCAAGAAGAAGUGACAGCUUUCUCUUCUUCAGCUUUCUCUAUUGUCUUAUCUGAGGCUGAAACUUGUGGAGCUUGAUUAGCUAAGUUGAAGCCUCUGCCAAGAAGUCUUACACUUUUUAUCAAAGAACGGUUGAAAAUGGCUGAGUUUUCCAAAGUGUAAUGGCUGAUUUUGGAGUUUGAUUUGACUGGUUUGAUGGAGGAUUUGGGAAGAUAUAUGGAGGGACGAAGUUGAUGGUUCAAGUUCGAGAUUGGGUUAGUUCUAGACAAAGUUUGGGAAGAAGACAUGAUGAGCUUGGAAGCUUGGGCCAUUGUUUUCUUGCUUAAGCCUAAUGCAUGUAUGUAGUUAGAAGCUUGGGAUGUUGCCAUAUAUACUGAUCCAAUUUGAUCAUCUAGCCAGGGAUAAAGGCUGCUGCCUAAAACGAGGGAGGGUAUUCAAGAAUCGCAAGAUUCAAAAUCAACAUAUACAGCUAGUAUUGCACAAAUUGUCUGGAUAUAUGAAACAAAGAAUAUGUGAUUUCACAUUGACUCAGAGGCUAAUGGUUUCGGAUAUUUUGUAGCUUUAGAACUUUGGUGUAUUUGGCCUGUAAAUCAACAAUUUAAUUUGAUAGUUCUUAUUUUUCUUCCAAAAAAGACUCCAAAUCUUUAUAAUGGAAAACAAAGUGCAAAUUUGUUCUUCCUGUUGAGCCAAAUGCAUGUAGUUAGGAGUUUUGGAUGUUGCUAUAUACAUAUAUAUAUAUAUAUAUAUAUAUAUAUUGAUUUGAUCAUCUAGAGGCGCACAAGGGCUGCUUCCUAAACGAAGGGAGAAUAUUCAAGACUCAAAAUUUUCAAAAUCAACAUCUACAAGGCUAAUUCCUUAGAAUAUUACCCAAAAAUUAAAAAAAAAUUUUGGCAAAUGUGGUGCUGACAAAGUCCAUUUCUAAAAUCAGCACGGCGGGCAACAAUGUUUUUAACUUUUUUCAAUUCCUGGGGCAGCGACGUUUUUUAAAAAAAAAAUAAAAGUUCAAGGGCUGUAGCACGGCAGCCUUUUUUUUUAAAAGAAAAUUUCUGAGCCUGCCGGUUAUCUGAAGUUAGAAACCUUUCGUUUGCAAAUUGUUGAGGAUAUGAUGGUGUUGGCCUCCGCCGGCAGGUCCAAAGUACACAAAAGUCACAUAACUUUAGUCAUGGGCUCAUGGUGUGCUUUUGUCUGGAUGAAUUCUCUGAAAUUUUAUAUUCUUUCCAAAAGAAAACCAGUCCCAAUGCCAUGCUAAUUCUUUAAGCCAAAGAAAAAAAAUUGUAGACUAGAUUCGUGCUGUAAUUUACUGUAUCCAAUUUGUCCUAGUGUUAAUGUUUAUUUUCAGAAAAGAAAAGGGAAAAUGGUCAAUUUAGUCCCUAAACUUUUUUAUACUGUCAAUUUGAUCCAUAUUUAAUUUUUUUGGCCAAUUUAAUCCCUAUACUUACUUAUCGAUCCCAAUUGAGGAACUACGUGGCAGCGCUACCUUGUAAUUUCAAUCAAGCUUCUAAUUGAACACUUAAACAGGAGUAUUUCGGAUACUUCACCUUGUAAUUUCCAUCAAACUUCCAUUGUUGGCAUAAACCCUCCUCUUAACUCCGGAAUAACUACUCCUCCUCUUCCCACUCUCGCUCCCAGCAAGUGAGCUGCCAUCCCUCGAGUACCUCCCACAACAAUAGGCUAUCAGGAAGGAAGCGAUCACCAAUACAGCCAUGGCAGUUGACAUGAUUAUCGCAACUAGUGCUCCGCUUCCAAGAGGAACAUAUGGGUUGUGGGCUCACCACGGUUGAGGGUGAAGGAAGGAUGGGGAAUGGGAUUAGAAGGGAAAGAAUUGAACUGGUGAAUGACGAGGGAAGGAAUCUGGGCGAUGAAGAAGAAGAAAUUUGCCUAAAAUGACUCAGAGGGUUGGUGGUGAAAUAGCAAACUUGACGACUUGCAUAUAGGAGCUGUUGCUGUCGCGGCCGCGGCUGUUGAGGAGGAGGAGAAGCAUGUUUAUGGUGGGAAUGAUCAGCUCUUGGAAACUUGGUGUUGCUGUUGGAGCAAAAAUGAUGGUGCGGAUGUGGCUGGGUGGUGUGGAGAGAAGAUUUGUUUGCUUCCAGCGAACAGCGAAAUGCUGAUACAAAAAUGUCCGAUAGGAGUGGGAGGUAGGGUUUAGAAGUGAAGGGUUGAUUGCGGCGGUGGCAAAGGUGAGAGAGAAAAUGGGAGAAGGAGGAAGAGGUUCGCAUUUCACUUGUCAAAUCUCAAAACAACUAAAAUCUUUAGAAUCAAAUCAAAAGUGGAGACUGGAGAGGAGGGCCGCUCAUGGUUGCCCUCAAGUGCUGCUGCUUACACAUACGACUAGUACUAUUAUUACUAAUUCCUCUGCUCUGCUAAUUCAAUGCAAAUUACUACUUGUACAUGUUUGUCUCUGUGGCGGAUUUAGGAAUAGUCCCAGAUAGUGCAUUGUUCUAUAGGCUUAUGGUCAUGAUGUGGGAGAAAUUCGAGAAUUGGGAAGGAAUGGGGCCCCUGAGAUUGUUGUUGGAGACGUCGAGGCGGAGGAGGCGUCGUAGGGAGGAGAGUUCGGUUGGAUUUCACCGGAGAUGUCAUUGCUGGAGAGAUAGAGGAGCUUGAGGUUGAGGCAGCGGGUGAGAGGGCCGAGGGUGCCGUUAAGGUGGUUGUCGUGGAGGUUGAGGAGGCGGAGCUAGUCAAGGGAAAAGAGGGAGUCGAUAGAGCCUCGGAAUUAACAUCAGAAGUACCCGAAAUACCCCUGUUUAAGUGUUCAAUUAGAAGCUUGAUCGAAAUUACAAGGUGGCGCCGCUGCGGCGUUCCUCAAUUGGAACCGAUAAGUAAGUACAUGGAUUAAAUUGGCCAAAAAAAUUAAAUAGGGAUCAAAUUGAGAGUAUAAAAAAGUUUAGGGACUAAAUUGGCCAUUUUUCCAAAAGAAAAAGAAGAAAUAGAUGUUCUUGAAACAUGCUUGAAUAUCGCAACGGAUCCUCUGUACCACAACCCUGUCUCACACCCUAUCCCACCCCUCCUAAACUUGUCAAGUGUCCUUUUAUUAACCCAAUCCUGAAACAAUCCAAUUCGAACCAUGUUUAUUUAAUUAAUCGAUUAAUCGGGUUGAAAAACCGAAUCUCUAUAACCAAAAUCAAUUAAAAUAAAAAACCCAAAAAACAAAAAUAGAGAUUAAACAAGGCACAAAAAAAAACCCCACAAGGCCACGAAAUCGGUUUCCCAUCAGAUUUCACUCCUCCUCAAAAGCUUCAUCGCAACGCAGCAGGGCUGUCUGAGUUCAUCAUCUUCACCAUUCAGCUUUGACGAAAUAUUCACGGAUGAAGCUUCGAAGCUCUUCCCAAAGGUGAAAAACAACUUAUUUCUUAAAAACCUUGGUGGGAAACCUUCGAAGCUCUUCGCAGGCCAAUUUGAUGUGAUUUGCUAAGCUUAGGCACUUGAUCUAGUUUUCAACUUCAAAUUGGUCUGUUGAUACACACCAAUUGAAUUAGUUUUGCUAUAUCCUCAAUUGCAGGGAAGAAGUAAGAAAUUGGUUAUAUUCUGUAACAGAUAGGUGUCUCUGUUUUAGUGUUUUGGAACUUAGGUGUAGAUGAUUUUGGAAGGGUAACAAGUUUGCGUUUAUCUUUUGCUGAUUGAGGGAAUUUUUCUUCUAAUUUGUAGCUUCCACUCCGAAUGUUUCAUGCGUUAAAUUGUCUGAAAAUUCCGUAUCACCUGGACGAAGCACACCACCUGUUCGAUCAAAUGCCUAAGAGGAAGAUGAGUACAAAAUUUAUGGUGCACAUUGCAAUGUAAUCUACAUGAGUGACAAAUUUUGUUAACAACUCUCCACAUUCUCUAUUCUGAUUUUGUACUUUCCAUGGAAGGUAUUGAUUGUGGUCUUAUCAAAAAGAAAAAUGCGUGGCUCAAAGUCCCAAUGAAUGAAUAUGCAUAGAGCUGAAUAAUCCUUUUGCUAUGCCUAUUUAUUCACAAAAUAUCUUAUUUAUCUCGUGCAUAUUUCUUUUCUUAUGUUGCAGUUUGUAAUUACAAAGGAUCAUGGAUUUCAUAACUGUUAACUCAUUUAAGUCUGCAAUGCAUCUUGGUUAUUCCAAAUGGUUAAGCAGAUUGUGUCUAGAAUUGAGAAUGAGGGAAGCGAUUUGAGGUUUAAAUUUGAUCUUUUACUUGCGAUUUAAUUUAUGGUGCAUAUUCCAAGAGAUGCUUGAGAAUCAGCUUUAGUGCUAAAUUUCGUCACUCAUGUAAUUUGUGAUGCAUAUUCCAAGCUGAUCUAGUCAAAUUAAUCAGAGUAGACCUCAAACUUCAGGAAAUCCUGCAACCUUACUGUUUGGCAUGCUUGCAUUUAUGGCAAUUUAAUUUGACUGGAUUACCUUGGAAUGUGCGCAUUAAAUUGCAUAAGGUUAAGCAUAUACUAGUCGCGUAGCAGUCAAAUCAAAAUAAAUGAAAAUAAAUUAACUAGUUUCGUUGGAUAAAACAUAUAACUCACUGAGGAGUUCGAACUUUUAUUAAGUUUUUAACACUAAAGCUGGUUAUUAUCUUGGUGCUUAUGCUUAAUCUGUUAAUUUGUGAAAAUCCAUUGUGUAUUUACCAAUUUGUUAUCACUCUGAAGUAUCUUGCAUGGAAUUUUUGCAACCCAAUGAAAAGGUUUUUGUUUUACAUACUGUUUUGCAACUUAACUGGCAUCUUUCUGCUUAUUGGCGCUACAUUGUUAGAAUUAUUUAGUUUCAUACACUUCAACAUUCUGUUUCAAGCAUAUGAUUAACCACUUGUCAGUAUUCUUAUGACUUGAAGUCUCACUACUCAAUUAGCAAGCCUUUGUUCUGAUGGAAGUUAUGCAGCUCAAUUGGCAUAUUACUUGUGCUCAUGGCUGACAUUCUUUUGAUGUAAUCCAUCUUUACGGUUGGCAAUGUUCUAUAAAUGUCUGAUCAUUUUUGUAUGCUAGGAAAAGAAAAAGGAACUGGCGUUUUCUGCUCGCUUGCCUUACCAGUAUUAGGUAUUUUACAUUAAUCCGUUUCAGUGGUAAGAAUUGUUUCUGAAGUCAAGAAUAUAGCGAUUGUCUGUCACCUGAGCUAAUGGGGCUGCAACUACUUGUGGGGUAAUAACCUGAUUAGACAGCUGACAUUGCACAGAAAUGGUAGAAGCUGUAGUAGAGUACUUGUAAAAGAUAGAGGGCCUUGAUGAAGACAUACUGCUCAAAGUAGGUCAGAUUUCAAUAUUGAAAGAUGCCCUGGGCAAACCCUUUGACCUGCUGGCAAGCCCAGAUUCGGAGCAUAAAUACUUGGUGAAUUGAGGGAUAAACGGUGAAUUUGUCAAGAUUGUUUAGAACUGUUCAUAUUUGUACAAAUGUUUUUGUUGGUUGGUUUUUUUACUUCUUUGGUUAUUACUUCUUGAAAAUGAUGUUAAGUACUGAAAGGUUUGCAAUCAACCGUGCAGUUCAUAACGUUAUGGCAAUUUUUUUAUUCUAGUUCAUUUUCUCUACGACUUUUAGCAUUAUUUGAAUUUUGGCAGCAUAAUCAUCAAUUUCAAUAUGCUCAAACCUCAGAAAGAGGAAAACAAAAAAUGGAAUGAUGUGUAUAAAAAUCUAUGAUCCCUCUUCUACAAGGGAACAGAAAGAAAAGAGUGGAUAGAUUCCGAGGUGUAUAAAUGUAUAACUUCACACCAUCCAAGUUUUUUGCACUGAUCAUUCAUCUUUAGCAGCUUGAUGAUCACUAUCAUCAUUAUUUCCCAGUUCUUGUGCCUAUAAAAAACAAAUGCUAAGUUAGCAAAUGUAUUGAAUUAUAAGUGUAACUUAUCAAACUAAUAUAUAUAAAAUUAAGUAAUUAAUCAAGGUUUUUUCUUACUUGGACAAAACUCAUUGACGCUGCUGGUGUGCUAUUGAACUUGAAGACAUCAAAUCAUAGCCUUGGGUAAAGUUAGGGUCCAACGACUGCCCAAAAAAUAAGAAAUAGAAGACCACCCUUCAUUAUAAAAAUAGCUAUAAACUUGUAAAAGUAUAAUACUAGAAAAAACUGCAAUAAACUUAUAAGUAAGCAUACUAUUUACUUACUUGCAAUAAUUGUGUCAUGUUUGUGGGAUUUCGCCUAUUGUAGAUGUCUUCUAUUGAAAUUCCAAAUUCCUAAUAUAAUUAAAAAGAGACGACCACAAAUUAAAAAUUUCAUUGAAAAAACAUGUCGUUAAUGUACUUUAGUCAUCUAAAGAAUAAAUUAUUCAAAUAAAAUUUAAAAUAAAUUACAUAUGUACUAUGCUAUACAAGACAAAAAUGACGAAUAACUAUACCUGCUGUGGCGGUAAUUCUCGAGCAAAACCUUGAAUUGUAGCAGAAUCCAUACUUGAAUUAACAACAUUAUGUCCAAAUUCCUACAAUCAUUUUUAUCCAAAUUAUAAAUAAGGAUCCUAAUACUAUUUCUAUACUCAUCAUUCAUCAUACAACCAAGGAACCCAAAAAAAAGUAAUAGUCAAACAAUCAAAUAGCAUUGUUCACAUAAAUUAAAUAAAUUGUCAAACCUGUAAUCUUUUCGAUGAAAACUUCUCCUUCACCUUGUACUUGCGUUUCUUAGUAGCCAUUUCUAGUGCACUUCUUGGUCUCUUGCUCGACUUGUAGGUGACUUUUUCUUUCACUUUGCUCGACUUGUAUACCCUAUAAGUCUGUAUACAUAUUUUUUUACUAUUGAUAUCAAAUUACCGAAUACAAAUACAUAAUUUAUUACCCCCUUUGGUGAAAAGCAACAUGGUAGGGAAAAUUAUGCACCUAUUAAACCACAGAAAAGAAUGACUCAGCAAAUAGCACAGAGGAAAAUAUGUGAAAAAUGAGUAUGCAUUCAAGCUAUUCAUACACAAGAGAAGAGGCCCAAAACUAAUGCAUCAAAGUAUUCACAAAGAAAUGGCACAAUUUGCAAAGUCACCAGGAGAAAUAUCACAUAGCCAACAGAAUUUCACUAGAAUAAAAUAACCCAUGCAAAAGUACUCGACCCAUGAAUGAAAAGUAGAUAUCCUCAUAGGGAAUGAUCAAACAAAGAGCAGAUAACUUACUGUAUAAACACCCAAGCUAGAAUAUUAAAAAAUAAAUAAUAAAUAGAAAAAAUGAAACCGUCUUUGAGUAUAAUGUGUAAACAAAGAAGAAGCCAAAAGUCUCACGAACAACCAUAAGAAACAAGAAGUUCAGAUUAGGUCCUGAUGUCUAAUGCUUGCUUGGAAGCAGAAUAUUCAACCAAAAAGUAAAGGACAAAUUUACUUCAUAUGUUACACGGACAAAUUUACUUCAUUUGUAUUAAUCCUAUGUUACACGGUCAAAGUAAUUUUGAUAGUGGUAAUAUCAGCUAAAAAAGGGAGCAAGUUCGUAACUAGUACCAUUUAGAACUCUGAGGUCUAGGUAGUCAAUAUCAAACCCAACGUGUUGCUUUUCCCUACCAUGUUGCUUUUCAUACCACUUUGGUGAUUCUAUAUUUAAUAUUCUUCUUAUUAACCAAACUCUUCAUUGUUUUUGUAAUAGUUAAAAGCCUGGAUAGAUAUUUUCUCCUUUCAAAGACGCAUCAACAGGUACAAUACAAACACAAAAAGCACAAAAAUUUGUGAACAAAAUCAUCUUAAGCAAAUAGAUCUUCAAUCAACAGAGACCCAAAAAAAUAAAUCCUGAAACUUAACGAAAAUCAUCAAUUAGUAAGUAUUUGAAGGAACCCAGCAAUCCCUUUGCAUAAAUUCUUUAAGUUCAGAGGCUUCAGGUUGACUUCAGAGGCUUGUGCUGAUGUUUACAUGAAUAACGCAAUUCGUUGCAUAUGAAGAGUACUUAUUUGAAGGAAAAUUCAGGGCUGUACCUUGCUCCGUUGAAGACUAGCACGAAAGUGUUAAUCUCUGGAGGGCUGCGUUGCGAUGAAGCUUUUGAGGAGGAGUGAAAUCUGAUGGGAAACCGAUUUCGUGGCCUUGUGGGGUUUUUUUUUGUGCCUUGUUUAAUCUCUAUUUUUGUUUUUUGGGUUUUUUAUUUUAAUUGAUUUUGGUUAUAGAGAUUCGGUUUUUCAACCCGAUUAAUCGAUUAAUUAAAUAAACAUGGUUCGAAUUGGGUUGUUUCAGGAUUGGGUUAAUAAAAGGACACUUGGCAAGUUUAGGAGGGGUGGGAUAGGGUGUGAGACAGGAUUGUGGUACAGAGGAUCCGUUGCGGAUUUCUACGUUCUUGAAAUUUUUUUCUCGUUUUCUUGGUCUAAUUUUUCACUAGGGAGGCUUUGACUCCAAUUUUAAGUAAAACGAAGAUUCUCAAUGUGUACAAUUUUCAUUAUCAAGAUUAAAAUAUGCAAAUUUCCCUUAUUUCUCAUGUCUUUUUUUUCCUGUCAAUUGGCAAUUUCAUUACCUGAAAAUCUUACCCUUCAUAUUGAAUAAUUAAAGCCCAUUAGUUGGUAAACAUGUUCAACAAAUUAAAGGUCGACAAAAGUCAGGUAUGACUGAAACAAUUAUGUAUUCUUUGUUUGGACCCUGGUUUUCCUUAGAAAAAUUUUAUAUUUUAUGUGAAUAUAUUUUUCAACCAGCUUUUUAGUUUUACUUCAUAUAUAUCAAAUCGUUACAAUAUUUUUUUUUUUUUACAAAAAUUUUUAAAAGUAGCAAUCCAAAUGAGAGCAUUUAAUAUUCAAAUAUUUUCAAGCUGUAUGUAGUUAAAAAUUGAAUUGACUCAAUAAAAAAGUGCUCUAAUUCAUCAAGUAAUUCAAGUCGGCUACCAAUCACGAAGUUUCCACUGAUUUUUCAUGCAUGUGGGUCGAUAUGGGCACGCUAACUUUUUCAUUUUCAAUGUGGAAUUUUCCACAUCAACGUAUACAGUUAGUACUUCUGAAAUUCCGCAUCUAAACAUAUGGAAUAAUAUAUAAAUAAAUAAACAAGUAAUAGUCACGUGGAAACAAGUUGGCUACAUGGAAUCACAUUGACGCAGAGGCUAAUGAUUUCGGAUAUUUUAAUAGUUUCAGAACUUUAGUACAUUCAAUGUCAAUCAACAAUUUAAUUCGAUUUUCGUUUUCUUAUUUCUCAAAAAAGGUUUUAAGCCUUUAUAAAAAAAAAUGAAUAAUAGAUGAUUUGAGAGUCGAAUUAAGAACCUUAAAGUUACUUAACUAAUUUUCUUCCUAGCAAAGCAGAGUUUUGGAGAUAAUGUACUAUGUUAACUUGUAAUUAUUUUUUUUUUAUUUUGAAGAUUAUAAACAUGUAGAACUUCACCACACCAUGCAAGUGGCAUUAGUCUUAUUUAUGCAUUGCUACAACAUGCAGCAUUAUUGGACUCUUCAAGUUUUGCAGCUUCCUUAUUCUGUUCCAAAUUGAUAGUCGCUUUUGGAGAAUGCAACUUGUGUAGAGUUGAACUUAGCAAUUUUCUUACAUUUCUUCCCUCAAAAAAUUGGGAAUCUGAAAUACUUUUCAGUUAAAAGUCCCAAUGAAUUUGAGUUUUUUAUAAUGACAAAAUUUUUGAAUAUCUUGACAAAGCAAAUAUGACACUAUGAAUGGGAGGAAUGGAUUAUUUUAAUAACCGCGAGCUGAGUACUAUGUUUUACAAAUGCUAUUUUUGCCUAGGAAAAUAUAAAAGUAAUGAUCUGAGUUGUUUGUUUAGCGCUCAAGCAUUGAGCAAUUAUCAUGAUGUAGAGUGGGUUAACUCCAGUCUAUUGUGCUAAAUGCACAGUGUAAAGCAUCGAGCAAGUGCUCACCUGUAUACACUUUUGUUCCCAUUAAUACAAUCCUAUUGUUUCGACAAAAAAAAAAAAAAAAGAAGAGAAUUUCAUCAUGAAUGAAGGAAGGAAUUUAGAGUAUGUAAAGUGGAUAUAUUCUCACAUGUACACCUAAGUUGAUUAUUAUAGAAGUAAGCAGCAAUCAGCUAAUGAUGAUGCAUGGAUAUAGAAUGUUGUUAAAGAAUUAAUACCUGUCUAUAAAUGAAUAAUAACAUGAUAUAAUCGAUUAAAAUUAAGGUAAAUCUAACAUCAUAUAUGCAGUUUGGAACCGUUGUUUUCUCCUUCCUGUUUGCUCAACCUCUUGCAUCAAUUAUAAUGCAAAAUCCUUGCCCUUUGUCAUAUUUGACAUUUUCUUCUGAGGGUUCAUAGUUGACAUUAAUCCAUUGAAAUUUUACAUUAUGCUCCGACACAUGUGGCAAUAUGCCAAUGUCUUGGAUCACUAACAUCAAAUAAACUGCUAAACUAUAUGCUUGGAAGAUUUGUCUCUGAACUAAUUAAUGAGUAGGAGGGGGGAUGCUGGAGUGAGGACCUGAUUAAGAAGGUUUUCCUGAUUAUGAAGUGGAUACAAUUUGUUCAAUACCAUUAUGUGAUUCAUGGCCUGAUGAUCAGAUAGUAUGGAUGGCACCACGCCAAUGAUGGACAGUUCUCAGUUAAGUCGGCAUAUCGGAUGAUCAUUGACCUUUUAAAACACUGGAGUGGAAAGAUUGAAUCGGCGCCGGCCAGCACUUGGAAGCAUAGUUCGAAGACUCGGCCGAGUCGUCUCCGUCUAGGCCUAGUCCGAGACGAGACCGCGACGAAACGUUUCCGAGAUACGUGACUCGUCGAGACGUCACCGUGAAGAGUUAAAAACGACCGAGUCAUACCGAGUCAUUUCAAGUCAUCCUGAGUCAAUUUGAAUUUUUAUUAUUUUUACUAAUUUUUUAAUUAUUUUUAUUUAUCAUAUUUUUUUAUAAUUUUUAGAAUAUUAAAUAUUUCAAAAAUUUACGUCUCGCCGAGACCGCGACCGAUAUGCCGAGACCGAUGUGGAACGGUCCAGGCCGCGACCGCAACCGCGACCGUGACUCUGAACCAUGCUUGGAAGAGAUGAAAUUCUGGAAAGGAGCGUGGAAAUUAGAGGUGCCCCCAAAGGUAAAAUGUUUUGUGUGGAGAUUAUGCUGGAAUGCUUUACCAACAGGAACAAAUCUGAAGAUCAAGAGUUGCGGGUGUUAAUUCUUCAUAUCCUUUGGUGUGGGGAAUGCAGAUGAAGAUGACAGGCAUGUCUUUUCUGAUUGUAGAUUUUCUGUUACAGUGUCGAAACGGGCGGCUUUAAGUACUGGUAUGGUAGAGAUAUUGGAAUCAAUGCAUCCAACGGAAAGAGAAUUUAUUGCAAUAUUGUUAUGGAGGAUAUGUUAUUUUGAUUGGUGAAAAUAAAAAGCCUACAGAAAUAAAUAAUAUAGGUUUUCAAUUUCUAUGAAUAAAUCUACUUUUUCUUCCAUUUUUGUUUAACACAAAGAACAUUAACCAGAAAAGUAAAGGGUAAAAUUAUGAAGUCAAUCUUAUCAUAAAUGCUAGUUGGAUGAAAAGCAAUGCUAAGAGAGGUCCAUGUUAUUUUGAAAUCAAGAGGAUAUGUCUCUAACUUAUAAAACCUAGAGGAGAAGUCAUUGUAAUUUACCCAAUAUAUUUUCAAGUGUGCUUUGUGAGUUCAUUUAUGUGUUAGAGGAAGAGCGAUGGCCACUAUUAAUGGUGCCAUCUCCAAAAUAGAUGAAGAGUAGAAGCAACCAGUAGGGCUUCAACGCUGACGCUGGAAGGAGAAAAGAAAAAUAUAAAAUUUGAUUUUAACCUCAAAUUUUUUAAGUUUUUCUAAAACUUUGGGAGAACCAAAUCUGCGACCCCCUUCCCUCCCUCUCUCCCUCUCUUUGGUCACAAUCAGAUCUGGUCCCCCUUCUUCUUCCUCCCCCUCUCUAGUUUGCGGUACAACCAGAUCAGUGUGAACCAUAGAGGGGGAGGGAGAGGAGGGGGGUUGCGAGGAGAAGGAAGAAAGACGAAGGAGGGGAGAAGAGAAAGAGAAAGAGAUGAGAAAGAAGAGAGCUGAGAGAGGGGGAGAGAGAGGGAGGGCAAAGGGAGGGGCAGUAGUGGAGGUGGAGGAGGAGAGGGGCAAUGGUGGGUGGUGGUGUCUGGUGGUGGUGGGUGAUGGAUGGAGCAAGAUAGAGGUGGUAGAUUUAUUUUAUUUAUUUUAGUUAUUUUAAAGAUUUGUAUGGUCUAAGCAAUUUUUAUAAUAUUUUUCGGAGUGUGGUACUUUAAUAUUGUAUUUAAAAAACUUGUUCUUGAUAAAAUCUUAAAUCCAUACAAAUUGAUUUUAGCACUAACCUUUUUAAAUUUUUUUAAGUUUUCCUAAACUAAUUUUGGUAAUUGUGAAAAGUGCAGCUAACAAGAAAAGCUUUUUUUUCAUCUCUAUUUACGAUUGCAAUUGUACCUUUUUUCUAUAAUCUUUUUUAAAACAUCCCUUAAUAACAAUUUUAAUAUAUCCUUUUAUUCUUCCAAUUAACUUCACUAUGAUAUAUUCACAUUUCAAAAAGUGCAAUGAAAAAAUAAUUUUAAAAAAAUUGUGAUAAACAACGAAUAAGAAUUGAAAUUUAUGUUAAGGUAAUGUCAACUGUAAUUUAAAAAAAAAUAAGUAACCAAGUCAAAUGACCAUUUUUGCCUAUUGCUAUCCGCCUAAAUCACUUAACUUUGUUCCUCUUUUUUUUUUUCCUUUUAGUAAUUACAAUAAAACACUGCCUAAUUUCCUCUUUUACGAAUUAAUAAAGAUUUAAUGCCCCAAUCCUAAAUUUCACCUCUUAUUCCUCCCUUCUCCCAAAUUUUCCCUAUUAAUUUUUCUUUUUUCCAAAAAUUAACAAAAUGGCAAUUCAAAAUGUAUAUAAAGUAACCAAACAGGGAGAACCAGACCCAAGAACAGAACCUGCAGGCCAAAUCAACAAAAUUUGGGCCUGUACACUCGUCACUCUACUCCGCCGCUUCCCGCCAGGGCUACCACCUCCUGCCGGAGCAUCCUCCCAUGUCUCCUCCGGUCCCUUCCAAAAUCUUAACAGGUUUGAACAUUUUUCUUCAUUUGUUCUUCCAAUUAAUAACAAUUCCACCAUAAAUCGAACGGUAAAAAAAAUUUCAAUUUUUAACAGAUGACGUCAGCCUUCUGAUGGUUCUGAUCGACACUAAUCCUCACUUCUGGAGCUCCAUCAAACCCCAUUUCUCCUUCUCCAAGUUCCUCUCCCACGUAAUGCCCCUUUUUGAUAUAAUUAUAUGCCAUUUUUCCUUCUGUUUUGGGGGGAAAUUAGUAAGUUUUGGCAUUCUUGAACUCUAUACUACUGCUUUAAUUAUAUCCCAUUAAUUUUUUUAAUUUAAUUUGUAGUUGGGUUCUUUUUUUCAUAUUUUAUUUAUGUUUUGGGGGGAAAAAGUGAUGGGUUUUGGCGUUCUUGAAUUCAAUAACACUGCUUUAAUUAUAUCCCAGUAUUUUUUUUUGAAUUUAAGUAUUAAUGGUCUUUUUUAUUUGGGGAAUUAUGGUAGGUAUUGGCAUUCUUGAAUUCAAUUCUACUGCUGAACCAGUUGAAUCAGGUGGUAGUGCUUGCUACCGGAAUCAAUUCUUGUGGUUAUGUUUUUGACUCGUCGUCUGGCUCAGUAAGCCAGAGGGCUGAGAGCUUGUUGCCCAAGUUGGAGGAGUUUGCGGAGAAUGAUGAGUCAUUGAGUGAGAGGGACGAUGACUCGGGAAAUGGGGUUGGAUCCUCACUUCUUUCCGGUUCUCUUUCCAUGGCUCUCUGCUGUAUCCUUUGUCAACUUUUCAAUGAGCCAGUCAAUAUACUCGUUGUUUGUGUGAUUUUGGAUGUUUAUUGUUAAGGGCACUCAUAGAUUACAUUGGGUAUAUAUGUUCUCUACAAUGAGUAGUUGAUUGUCGUACAUGAAUUAGUACAUUUUCACCAUUCAUGCUUUUCAUAAUGAUAAGAUGAAGUUGUAUUCUCUUUGUUAAUAUACUCUUUUUUGCACGUGCCUUUUAUGAUAAUUUCCCCUAAUUCACUUAAAUUUUGGAAAAAUUAAUCAAAAGUGCUGGCUAGGAUGGUUAAUUCAUAAAGAAUGUGUAAUUUUGAUCUAUGUAUCAUAAUGGGGUGUUAUAACGACCCUUUUUCCCACAAAAUAUAUGCUUCUGUGUUUACAUUUAGCCUAGCAUUUUGUAUAUGAAUCAAUACAUUUUCUUGAAAAAUAUUUUAAAAUUACAGUCUUUUUGUCUGUUACUAUUCUAUUUUGCCCUUAUAUCUUAUUUUCCCUUAACAUUUUUUCAUAGAUUUUACUAGGAUAGAUUGUAAUGAACGCCCUGGUUUAAGAUUAGUUUGUUAUCGGCUAGAUGUAAAAAUCUUCUGAAUUGAUGUGUGUUUUUGUCUGUGUUUCUGCGCUUCUGCAUGUGGAUGUGUCUAUUGAUGCAGUAGACCUACUAAUCUUUUUUUUUUUUUGUAUUUUCUGAAGGAGGUCAGUGGGUGUCUCUGUGUGUUUGUGAAGGGUUGGCUGUUGGAUUGUAAUUUAUUAUCUCCUUAUGUCCAGUUGUAGAGGGUUGUAUGGAGAAAUUUAAUUUGUAUGAGUUUUUUGUGCAUAUACCCGUGUGUGUGCUUGUAAUGAACAUGUAGAAAUGUAUUUGACAUGUAGGUGCGUGUGCAUGAGUGCUUACAUGUGCACUUCGUUUACCCUAUAAUCACUUGCAAAUUGUUGCAUUUUGAUUUUAUGGAAGUAUUGUUGGAUAUGACCAAAUAAAUGGGCAGAUAUACAGAGGGUAUUUCGGUCAGGACCUCUUCAUCCACAGCCACGGGUGAGUGCUCAUUUUGUGAUUAUCCUAUAUCAAAAUGUCAAAAGUUUUGAUUGAUGCAGAUAAUUAUUUAGAAAGUAGAAUUAACCAGUUAACAAGGCCUUGUCAUUUAAAUAUUUUCCAUGCAGUUCAUUGUUUUUGUUGGUUUAAUAAUUUCAUUACUUUUAGCAACUGAAUUACGUGAUCUCUUCCUAUGUUUCCAUUUUUAAUUUAUUCAUUUCUUACCAUGUGAUGCUGAUUGCCCCUUGUUUGCAUAUAUGUAUGUACUAACAAACUGCUGCCAAAUGAUGGCAGAUAUUAUGCUUGCAUGGAUCUCCUGAUGGACCUGGACAGUAAGUACUUUUAAGAUAUUUGGGAGCAUCUAUGAUAUCUUCUUCAUUGGCUUUUACACACUUUCACUUGUGCAGAUACGUUGCUAUCAUGAAUUCCAUUUUUUCUGCUCAACGUUCAAUGGUAUGUGGUCUAUUUUAUGAAUUUUUUAGUUUUAGGAUCAUUAUAUUUCUCAAAUUAACAUCUGUGCUCUUUCUGAGAUGAUUUAUGUUGGUAAUGACCUCCCUAUUUUAAUCAAAUGGACUUCCAGGCAUUCAUGUUUUUUCUUCUCUUGUUUGCAUUAGCUGCAUAGAAUUUGUCUCAGUAGUUUUCUUCUCUCAUUCCAUCUCUUAUUGAACCUUAUGUUGGUCCUUUCUAGGACAAGCCAGACCACAUACUAAGGCUCUCAGUAUUCCUGUACUUAAAUUGGGUGACUGCUUGUAUUUGGGUGGUAAUCUUGGUGAUCAUGGUGUCCUAGAUACCAUUUAUCACACCAUGAAAGAAAAGGUUUUUUUUUUUUUAAAAAAAAGAAUCGAUUUCAUAGCAUUGGUGUUUGAUGCGAGCACCUUUUUGUUUUCUUUUUCAGCUCUGUUGCUAAAGCAUUAGGUUCUUUUCAGUUCUUAUGUGGAGAUCAGAAAUUAACACAUGCAUUUCAGAUUGGCUUUGUUCACAAUAAAUAUGCUUAUUUUGUAACUCAUUUAAAAGUUACAGUUUUUCAUUGUGAUGCUAAUCAAUUUGAGGUGUCUUGACAUGUCAAUAUUAUGCUUUCUUCCACAGGUACCGAUUGAUUCAUGUGUUAUAGGAAUCCAGCAUUCUGCUUUUCUUCAGCAGGUUGUGACUUGCUGUUACAUUUUUUCCAUUAUUCAACAAGAUGAAUGUGAGAUGCUUGAUUCUUUUUAGUGAUCUAUUCUGGUGAUAAUUUAGGACAGGCUUCUUAUAUAACUGGAGGUGUAUAUCUAAAGCCACAGCAGUUGGAUGGACUUUUCCAGUAUCUGGCGGUAGGUCUUAUUCUUCAUCAGACGCUAAACAAAGAAGCCUUUUUAUUACUAGUGUGACGUGUGACUCACUGAGACUUUGCCAAUGGUUGUUGGUCUAAGACAUUAACUCGUUUAUGGUUUUGAUAUCAUUGGGAUCAGUUAGUGCAACAUAGUAUGGUAAUUAUAUCAUCCCCUUCAAUGCGAAUGGUUCCUUUAUCAAAUGCCUUUUUUCUUUUGUGGUGUCAGCUGAAAAUUGACCUAUUUAUUCUCUUGCAAGAAUAAUUUAACUUUAGUGGUUUGUUUUCAAGUGUUUGUAUUACUAGGCAAGGAAAGAAUUAUUCUUCCUAGUUAUUGUGGAUGAGUCACUAUUUAGUUAUCUUUAAAACAAUAAAACAGCUUGAAGUGAGGGUAACACUUACUUAUAGCAAGUAUAGUGGAAUACUGGGUUUUACAGCAGAAUUCAUUGAGUCACUUAAGCUUGUACUUUCUAGAUAACAUUUUUGGGGACAAGUUUAAUUGAUUUUUCAUUCUCUUGUGGUGCACAUGCUACUUAAAUUUUGACCUUUAGUUGACCUGUUGAGAAAUAUUGUGUAGUUAUUCUGCAUCUUUAACUAAAUACAUUUUUCUUUCAUCUAAAAUUUUGAGCAUGGUUCUCCAUUUCCUAUGUCAGCCUCAUUCCACAACUGGUCAUUUCACAUUUCUUGUUUUUUAUCAAAGUCCUGGAGUCACAUUUGUUAGGCAGUUAGACUGUUAAGCUAUGGAAUGCAAUGCCAUCUAAUAGUUAGCCAUGAUAUACACUAAUAUAGAAGAAGAGGAGCGCAUUGGGGAUAGAGCUACUUGAGUUGAAUAUGGAUUUUAUAACUUUGUAGGAUGCCAAAUCUUGCACAGAGAUUCUUCUCCUUGGUGUAGUGCUUAGUGAACCCUUGGGUGUGGACACAGGCUUCCCUUGUCUCUUUUCUGAUUCCUCAUUUUGUUUUGAGCAAGUUUUGAAUUUAACAUUUGGCUUUACAUUGUAAUCAAAACCACCUCAUGUAUAAACUAAGAAAGCACAAGCAUCUUGUUGCUUUUAACUUUUGAAGUGGAUAUUUCUUCAGUAAGGUGUGUUAGCACUUAUACUCAGGAACAAAGUGUGAAGAAAGCAUGUUUUCCUAGUCUUAUAGGAGUCUUUGCUCUUUUUUUAUUCUUUAACCAUUGGCUACUGUUAUGUGGGGCCUUUGAUUGUGGUGGAUGAAUGAUAAAAUUAACCAAACAUCAUGGAAAUAUUAUAUUGCAAUAGAGCUCUAUGGUUUCCUUUCCAAGUUUCAAGUAUCAAGUCCCCAUUCUUCCAUCUCAUUCUCUUUAUGGUGGCAAGUCACAAUUGGAGCAUGUUUGUUUGUAAUUCUUCACUUUUCUAUAUCCCUUCCCAGCCCAUGUGGCCCUACUGCAUGCAUCGUGGCGUUUAAUGUCUUUUCUUGUUUCCCUUUUGCAUUUCCUAUCUUCUACUACCCCAAGCCAGUCAGUGGUCCUACAAAUCUCUACCUCAUUUUCUUUCCCUACCUUUCCACUCUGUUCCCAUCCUGCUGCAUUAGAUGAAGACAAGGAGUUUGUUCCCUGGUUAACUUGUUACUCUUAUUAUUUUAACAUCUGUGGAAUAUUCUCUUCCACUUUGAGUCCAUAUAGAGAUGUUUAACUCUCAUUCACAUGAGUGUGUCCCAGUUCAAGUCUAAAACUUUUAUUUUCCUUACCAUAUUUAUUGUAGCAGACUUCCAAUGGUUCUGCUUAAUGAAGGCAACUUAAGCUUUUGCACAUGCUAGAUGAAUUUAGUGUUAUAAUUGUUUAGUUUGCUCGGAUCAAUCAACUUACUUCAUGGAGCUUUUCAUUUGACUUGUCUUUUAUGAUUCAGUAUUUUUUGUUUUAAAUUGCAUACAGCAUUUUUUUUUUUUACAUAUAGUUUGGCUUCUGAUUCCUUUGGAUUUCUUAUUAAAGCUUUUAGUUGCUAAUCGGGACUAUUUUGUAAAAAUAUGCAGACAGUGUUUGCUACCGAUUUACAUUCUCGGAACUUUUUGCGACUGCCAAAGCCUGUUGGUGUGGAUUUUCGUGCUUCGUAAGUAACUUAGAAGUUUGAUCCCCCUAUUUUGUUUCUCCAUAACGAUGAAACAUUGAUUGGUCGUUAUUUUAAGAUACCAGUUGGAGAGUUUUUCAUUGUAGCACUUUAUAUGCUUUUAGAUGUAGAAGCCUGCUGGGAAUCACAUGCUUAUAUUAAUUUUUCAAAUUUUCAUGCAUCGUAAUACUAUUCCAGAAACAAACAAUAUUUUUGUGUUUGCACAUGAAUAAUUUUGCAUAAUGCAGUGAAUGAGCAGUUUUUGUCAGCAGUAAUUUGUGGAUCCCAUAUAGGAUCUUCCCUCAGUUGGCUAUAAAUGCUUGAAGUUAACUGUUCUUUCUGGUAGCUUGGUCCAAAAAACAUUCGCAGAUUCUCUGUUGGAAUCUGCACAUAUAGAAUCUUUACUACCCUUCAUGGUUUUGGUCUCAAGGAAAAGUUGCUUGUGUCACUUUGACAUUUUUGGGUAAAUUGUAUUUCCUUUCCUUUUCCCCAGUACAAAGUAAAGUUUUUGUUGUCAGAUACGCACAAAUGAGAAUUGUCUUUCAAGAAAAAGGAAUGAACUAAUAAGCAAUUGCUUUCGAGAUGAUUUCCCCAUCUUGCAUUGACAUACUAUUGGAAAUACUAGAAGCUAAAUUCUGACAUAUAUCCAAAUUUUAUACACUUGGGAUCAUAAUGAUUUUGGAAGAAACUUUCAUUCAGUGUCAUCCUUGCAAGUUUGUUGGUUACAUUGUGCAGUCAAUGUUUUUUUACCGAAACUUUAGUUUAUAUAUAUGACGUCAAAACUAUACGUUGGUGCAGUCAAUGUGCACCCACAGUUUGUACUGGCUUACUGUUGCCUGCUGUGCCUAAUGCAUCUUGUUAACCUGAUCAAUGAAACUUGCAGGUGCUUCUGCCACAAAAAUACGAUUGACAUGGGUUUUAUAUGCUCUGUUUGUUUAUCGAUAUUCUGUAAGCAUCAAAAGAAAUGUUCAACCUGCGGGUGAGUUCCACUUGCUGUUAUAUGUCUGAUUCAAACUCGUCUAAUAGUGAAUUCUGUUUCCAUUUAUAUGUCCUGUGCUUGCUUAAGUAUGAUUGAGGAUGAACUGUUAUCUUGUCAUAGUUUCUUCCAAAAAGAAAUAAAAUAAAUGAAAUGCUGAUGUGCUUGAGCCACUUACAAAUCAAGCUGGUUAGAUCAAUAAGCAAGAGAACAAGGGUUUUUUCCUCAGUUGGGGCCUGGGAAGGAAGGUGAGUUGGGGAAGAUGGUACAGUGGUGUAGGAAACUAGAAAUGCCUGACAUUUAUAGUCAAAAUAGCUACUUGCCUAUCUAUUAUUUGUGAUCCUUCUCUUAUCCCUGCAUUUUGUGUAUCUUUCCCCUUGGCCAUUUGAUGAUUAUGCUAUCAAUAGCAACGCAUGUUAUAGUUACAAGUAAAUUGCAUUUGUUCAAGCUGCUUUACAUUUGCUCUAUCUGGAUGAUUUGUUACAGUAUCACCAUAAAUUUAGACUGAUAGGAAAGUUCUUCUACUGGAUGAUAUGAUGCUCCCAAAUGUCUGUAGGUCGACUUUUGGUCAGGCGAAAACACUUGAUCCCUCAGCAUCACAGCAAAGGUAGUAGAUUCCAGGAGAUACUCAAAUCUGAACAUAUUCCAGCUUUGCGUUUGGUUUCCUCGUCAUGCUGUAUCCAUGAAGUCACGCAACACUCAAGAGCUUUUGAUGUUGCAGCCUGAAGUAAAUGACAUUGGCAUCGACAUCAAACUCAGAUUAUGCACUGGAAGCUAUCUUAGUAAUCCAUGGUUGAAAGUUGGGAAGGACGAUCAGCAUCCAUUUUGCAUAUUUAUGCUGAAGCAUUGCUGAACCAAAAUGCGAUGCAGUUGCUCUCAAUAUGUGGUUAUUUAUAUGAUUGAAUUGUCGACUAACACAGACUGCUGGACAAGGGUUGGGGUGUAAAGGUUCUCGGAAUUUCGGUUCUUGAGCAGGACUUUUGAUUUGCACUUUCAUUUCAUGUGUUUUCCUGACUUUGAAUGUUUUUCAAACAAGAUCCAUGGAAAGUAUCAUACUCUCCAGUGUGGGAUUGUAGCAUCAUUAUCUGAACUUCUGUAAAUAUGCAAGUCUAGUUAGCUUUUCAUUCUGUUCCUCAUUGUCCCUCUCCUAUUUCUGGCUGUCAAGGUAGGGGCACAAGCUACAAUGAACUGUUAGCCUAACCAUAUUCAGAGUGUUUGUCUAAUUGGUGUCCCUUGGACACUCUUACUCGGGGCCUUGAGCGUUAAUUUUUUUCGAAAGAGUUGUGUCGAGAGUUCAACCAAAGUUAAAGGGUAGAAAAAUUGUGAGCUUUUACAUUCAGAUGAUCGAUUGUGUGUAUUAUUAACCUGAGCUGAUGAGGUAAAAUUACUCUUGGUUUUUUGCAAUAAAUGCAUUUUUCCCUUGGAACACUAGCAAAAAUUCCUCAUCAACCAUAAAUUGCAACAGAAAAUUGCAAGGAAUAAAUAAUGCUCCAUUAUUGUCCUUGUCAACUUUCCAACAUAUCGGCCAAAGUAAGCUUUAAUUAUCUCUUUGCUUACCAAAGAAAAGUUCUGCUCUUGCUCAGAAGAUAAACAUAGCUGGGAAUACUUGUUGCUCCAGCAAAUUAACUCUUUGGGUUCAAAAGUGGGAGAAAAUUACAAGAUGGUGGCUAUUAUAUACCUUGGUAUUUCAUUUAACUGACAUUCUAGUAAAUCUUAGACCACUAUACUUCAGUCUUUUGUUUAAUUGUUAAUUGUCUUUGAAUCAAUUUGAUACUACAUCUUGAAGAAAGAUUUUCCACUAAUUCUUUUGUACUCAUCAAAUCUCAACAUAAUUUUUGGUGGUCAAAUUGAUACGUUUACUAGCUGUAUAAUGGAGUUUAGAAUUGGCGGAUUUUAAAGGCCAAGAAAAGACUAAAAAUUACUAUUAAAAUUUUCACGUUUAACCAUUUACUUGAAAUUUUUAUAAAAACCAAAAUUUAAUUUUUUUAUUUGUGUGAGGAAAAUCAUUUUUCAUUAUUCCUUGUCCUUUUCUUUCCUAAAAUAUGGAUUUCAAUUUAUUUCAAAUUCAUGUGUCAAGCUCUCCUGUGAUUCCUCCAAAUUCCUCCUAGAAGGCGGUGGAUCUAUUUGUGUUUGUACCUCUAUGUACUACAAUUUCUACAAUAUUUACGACCAAAACUUUGUCUGUUACAAAUUCCUCCAUUGUGUAGAUAUUGAUUGCUGACCUCUCUAUUGAAGCUCACUAACCAGGCUGAUUACGCCAAAUGGUUGAUGAGACAUUGAUUUAACGGUUAAGGUUGAGAAACCAAGAAUUAGCGGUUCUGAAUUCAAAUUUUCACGUCUUCUCUCCUCUUCUUAAAUUUUACCUUUCCUCUACUAUAAAAAAUUUAAAAAAAAAAGAAGCUGAAUACAGAGCGAAACGAACAAAAAUUAAAUGCAAAGGCUGUUUGACCAAUCAGAAAAGCUGUGUGUGCCACCCUGACCUUGAAUCAAGGGCUUAAAAUUAGCAUCAGAGGACAGAUUAAUCAACACAAAUCAAACUGAUAAGAACCAACAAAGUGACCAAACAUUGCAUGUUCAUAAAGCUGACUGGCAUGUCUAAGAACAAGAACUCGAACAUGAAAUAAGGAAAAUCCUAGGAGAUUUAGCCUGUAGUCUAUAAAUCCUAAGAGAUUUAUCCUUUUGUCUAUGAAGUGAAAUGAACAACUGAAUGCUUGUAAACCCUAAAGCUAGCCUAACAAACCAUGAUUGCUUCAGAGAGAAUUUUCUGGUAAUAAUUUUAUGUUGUCUUUUUCAGUGUGUGAUUCUCUCUCUUUCUGGUAUUUAUACCAAAAAUCAUUGGCUGUUGUUGAUCAGGUUAAACACCUGAACUGCCACUAUCCUAUCUAAGUGGCCAGCUUUCUCCAUGUUUCCAUUAAAUAUUGGUCCACAACAUUAUCCACUUAGCAGCCAUAAUAUAACCUGCUAUUCUUUCAUUAGUGGUCCACAUUUUCUUCCACUUAAUAUGAAUAACCUAACCAUUCUUUCUCAUUUAUGGGGCCAUGAUUCUGUACAACUCCUCUUUUCAAGGAUAUGGGUUCCUUUAGAUCAACCUCUCUGAAUCAGCCUCUUGAAUCAUCACUUUUAUCAGCUUUUUAAAAUCAACUUCUUGAAUCGGAGCCCAUCAUGUUCCAUCCUUUACAAUCAGAAAGGGUGGCCCCUUUCUGUUGUGUUUGAUUGAGAUUUCACUUAGUGCAUAUGAACGAGUAAAUUUACGCCCACCAUGGUGUGCCUGAUUCCUAUUAUCAUAGUCUUUUGUUUGUUAAUAUACUUGUUGCUUGUCUGUAGUGGGGGAUGACAGGUAUAAUAUCAAGAAGUUCCAUCCUUCCCGAUCAGAAAGAGUGGCCCCUUCAUGGUGUGCUUGAUUGAGAUUUGACAAAGUGCACAUGUAAAUUUAUGCCCAUCAAACUUUGUUGACAAGUAAAUUCCUAUUAUCAAACUUUUUGUUUGUUCGUUUUGUUUAUAGUAGGGGAUGACAGGUACUUGUUUCCCUACCUUCUGCCAGGCUUUCGCUUAACUAUCUUAGGAAUAAGGGAUGAUUUCAAAAACCAGGUUUCUAACAAUUCACUAAAUUAUCUUAUUUAAAAAAUUACACUUACUCUCCUCGAUUUGGCAUUUUUAGGUGCGUUUGAUAAAACUGAAAUCUAAAAACUAAAAUUUGAAAUAUGAAAUCUGAAGUCUGAAUCAAUUAAAUUAUUGAAUUAUUAAAUACUAAAUUUGAUACAUUUUAGUGUAUAUAUCAUAUUAAGUGAAAAGUAAAUAGUUUUAUCACUUUAUUUUGAAGCAAAAUUUAUCUAGAAAAUUCAGUGUCACUUAAUUAAUUCACAUGUUCAAUUUUUUGCUAUUAAAAGCGUCUGAACAUGUUAAUACAAGAUGAUUAAAGUAACCCAAUAAUAUUUACAAUACAUUAAAGUACAAAGUUUCACGGAUAAUGAAACUUAUUAGUGAAACUAUGCUCCUUAAAGUAUUGGACUUGGACUUGUAGCAAUUAUGUUUGUUUAUUAAGGAUUUCCAUCAAAAUUAUUACUCAUAAGCAUGUAUGUAAUUUGACUUUUUACAAAUUAUUGGGGUUAGAGACAAAAUUUUUCUAAAUUUCAACAAUUGCUAAUUAGUUGGGUAAAUUCAAAAAUUUUCAAAUAUUACUAUGCCUAAAAAUGUAAAUUCAGUUGGCUAGAGUGGCAUGCCGAAUAUGCAGCUUUGCGCUUUUUAUCAGGGAGUACAUGGUUUUACGGGUCAGGCUUUGCUAGGUACGGGGAGGACAUAAUGAACGCAUCAUUUGAUGGAAAAUCUAAUGGUGUAUUUCUACCAAAACAUGAUGGGGUGGAUUGGAGUUGAUGGAUCUGGUCGUGAAGACUAAACUCAUGAUGGAAUCCGCGAAAGUUUUGCAAAAGGUAAUUUCCUUGUGAUGGCGCUGGGACAAAGGACGUGCAACAUCUAAAUAGAAUCUGGAACUUUAUUUUUUUUUUUAUUUUAGGCACUCAAGUUACAAGAGAGAAAGAGGGAAGUAUUGUGGCCCUGGGUGCAAUUGAACUUGUUAAUAAUAUAAUCAACUAGAUAUGUUUUAUGAUUUUCUAUUUCAAAAGAUAGAGUCCCGCAUUAGAAAAUCAAAGAAAUUUUCAAUCAUUUUAUAAUACUUAGUUUCUUAUUGGAUUUGUAUUAAAUUAAUAACUAGUGUGAGCUUAUGCGUAUGAGAAGGACGUUGAGUCGAACCUAUCCAACGUAAACUGAUGAAUUUGCCCCGUGCACGUAGGCCCAGUAUAGUUUUACUUCUAUUCUAUUCAUAGAUAAAAAUUUUAUCAUUUUCCAACAUAUCUUUCUUGAGAGCCACUCCUAGAUUAGAAAUCCUUCUCCGACAUGUCUUCUCCUAUUCUAUUUAUAGAUAAAGUUUUGACUAUUUCCACUGGAUGAUAGAAUUUACAAAAAAUCACCGAAAUUUUAUUCUUCUCCAACAUAUCCUUCUUGAGAGCCACUCCUAGAUUAGAAAGUACACUCACAACACAUUUUGACUAUUUCCACUUGAUGAUAAAGUUUACAAAAAAAAAAAAAAAUCACUGAAAUUUUAUCCUUCUCCAACAUAUCUUUCUUGAGAGCCACUCCUAAAUUAGAAAAUACACUCACAACACAAAGUUAGUUUAUAAAAAUCACAGAAAUUUUAUCUUUCUCCAACAUAUUUUCUUGAGAGCCACUCCUAAAUUAGAAACUACACUCACAUUACGAAGUUCCGGUUGAAUUUUCCUUACAGUUGCUUCUUUCUUCCAUCUUCUCUUUUGUUGUUCCUCUUCCUUCUUGUUUACAAGAAGAAUGAUUAUUUAAUCAUGAAGCAAAAUUUCAACAUCCUGAAAUGGCUUUUCCGAACAGUACUAUUUAGCAUGACUUAUGUUUGUUCAAAUUAUUACUUCUUCAACAUUGUUCAAUUAUUUUCCAAGAAUACUACUGUCAUUAUGGCUUUCAUGCGAACUUGUUAAUACCAUCUGAAGAAUAUCAACUAUCUUUAUUGACAAGUAUCUAUACCAUUGGAAUACAUCAUCAUUAUGGCUUUGAUUAGUUCGCAUCAAUGCUCGUCACACUCAUCCAACAGUAUAUUUGGAUUAUUGUUGUGAUGUAACUUGCAUUAAUGCAUCUACCAUUCUUCCCCAACUGAAAGACCAUCAUGUUUUUUGGCAGUAUAUUGGGAAUUGCUGUGAUUUGGCAGUAUAUUGGUAAUUGGUGUGAUGUACUUGUAUUAUUGCAUGUACUGGUUUUUUUUGGCACGUUAGAUUGAGCAUUGUCGGCCGGUUUUUUUUUUUGGCAUGUUAGAUUGAACAUUGCACGAGUGCUUUAUCAACUAAGAAAUCACCUUCAUCACUUGAAAGAGUUCACUGUGUGCCUGGAAAGCCACAUUUUUUGCUUUGGCAUGUUAGAUUGAGCAUUGCAUAAUUGCUUUAUCAACUAACUAACAAAAUUUCUACUUACUUCCCCACUUGAUUUGAACAAAAAACUGUCUUACUUACGACGCUCAUCUUAUCAUCCAAUCCAAUCCUCCCCUCCUAUUUAAGAUAAUCUUUGUUUGUUAAUAUGUUUGCCUUCCCUCCUAUUUAUCAUAAUUUUGUUUGUUAAUAUGUUUGCUAUUUGUAUUAAAGAUGGUUCGAGGUAUAAAUAUCAACUUUGGCAUAAAUAGCAUGAAUACCAUUGGAUAGAGAGGAAAAUGAAAUUCCAUCCGUAUUGUUUUAGGAAAUUACAUAUUUUCACAUUUUGUUAUUUCCUCGUUUGAACUUCCUUGUUCAAGAGCCUGAAAAUAGAAAUCUAAAUGCAACCUCUAUCUUUAUUAGCACAAUCAAAUACUUAUCAUUGUGCCUUUAAUAAAUUAACUAUUUUUGUUGAAAUUCUGUGUGAAUAGCUUUACAUUUAUACACUACAUUUAUACACCUCCUCCAAGAGGUAUAAAAUGGAUCAUCCAUUUAUUUGCCAGGAUGGAGGACACCUCAAAUCUUUUUAUAGCAAAUUAUGUCAUAGCUCCUAGAUUUCUAGAUAAUUUUAGUAGAAAAAAAUAUGUAAUGAGUUCAAAUUUAUAUCCCUUAAAAAUCAUAUUUUUAGAAAAGAUUUGACCAACAAAACUUUUACAAUGCAUCACACAUUUUAACAAUCUAAUUGGUAUUAACAAGUGCUAUAUAUUUUUAUUCUAGAUUUUUUUUUUUUGAGAUCCAAUAUUUGACUUAUUACAGUGUUAUUACUUUAUUAGUUUACUAAAAGGUAUUCAAUGUGUCAAGAAGAUUGAAACUGCAUAAUUUUGACAACAAAAUUUGUUGGCAAAAAUACAACCACUUUUUAUGUAUACAGAAAUUUGACGAGGCAUUCAUCUGUACAUACCCAUAAAGGGAGAGAUCCAAAUUUUGGUCUCCCACUGUUGGACUAAUAAUUUGCUCAAAUCCAAAACAUUCCAUGGAAAGUUUCAUCGAUUUUGGUUUCUUUUAUAUGUCUAGCGAGUUUGGUUUCUUUUAUAUGUCUAGAUUUCCAUUUUGGAGACACCAAAUUGCAUUUUUCAUCUUAAGCGUAAGACACCUCUUAUGCUGGAGAAGACAAGAUAUUGCCUAGUAAUGUGAUUGCACUUAUCGAAUGAAAACAUCAUGCACCUUCUAAAGUGUGGAAACAUAUAAAAUCUAGUACUUUGCAAAAUGCUGUGAACCGAAUAAAUUUUUUAUACACCGUAGAUAUGGAGGAGGAACUACCAUUAUUACAUUACUUCAAACUGCAAAUUGAAAAGGGAAAGAUUUACAGAGUUUAAUUACGGUAUAGAAAAAAUAUUAUUUCAUAUAAAAUCCUUCCUAUUUCACCAAGCCCCCAAAUAAAACCAGAUCUUGCUUGCUUUCUAUACAUGUAUGGUGGCUACUCUUUUUCUUGGUACUUGAGCUUUAAUGACAUCCCUUUAUUUAGACUCAUUUGAUCAUGUUCUUCUUCUUUUAUGUUUUUUUUUUUAAUUGAUGUUGAUACAAUUCAUCCUCUUGAGAGAAGAAAUUAAUCAUUUUCAGGAUUAACUUGAAAGAAAUAAAUUGAAUCCGUGCCUAGUAAAUAAUCUGUAAUUUGUCUUUUGAUUUCAAGAACUUGUUCCAAUCAUUUCUUGUAAUCAUGUUAUGAUUUAAACUUUUGUGUUUAUGAUGGUGUAUGUGCUUAAUAUAAAUGUUAAACACUUACAAGUUCAAAAAGUUAGUUUCUUUCUGGGCUGGCUUAAAAGAUAGUCUAAUACCCUUUCUGUUUAGGUUUUAUGAUGCCCCUUAAUUUCUAAAUGAAUGCUUAGAUGAUGUCAAAUUUUUUGUGGAGAUAACUAGAUAUGGACAUAAAAGAAACAGCCAUUCUUUUUUUUUUUUUUUUCGCUCCUGUCAGAUUACUUAAUUUUGUAUAGUUUACUUGUUUUUCCCCCCGUGAAUCGCUAUAACAUAAUCUUUGUACAUUGCCAGUCUAUGCUAAAUAAGCUGAAAAAAAAUUGAAUAUGACUUUUUUUACAUUAUUCCAUUUGGGUAGAUUAGUCAUUCCUUUGGAUAUCAAAUAAAAAUGUGUCAUGCCAUAAUAAAAAAAUGUUUAACUUCAGCCAAGGACUAGGUUUAAUUAAGCAUGUUUGCAUUUUCAUUUCUUUACUUUUUCCUAAAUACUGCACUUGCUAGUUUAUAGCAAAAGAUUACACUGAUGCCUUGUUUAAUAACUCAAUUCAAUACUUAAAUUUAAAUGGAUUCAGAUUUUAAUAUGUUCAGUUAUAUUUGAUAACAAAAAAUAGAAUAUCUGAAUUAAUUAAGUGGCAUUAAAUUUUCUAACUAAAGUUUAGUUUAAAAAAUAAGUGAUAAGAUAUUCACUUAUCACUUAAUAGGAUAUCUACUUAAACGUAUCAAAUUUAGUACUUAACUAUAUAUUCAAUAAUUUAUUGGAUUCAGACUUCAUAUUUAAGAUUUUAGAUUCCAAUUUUCAAAUUUCAAUUUUAUCAAAUGCACCCUAAGUUUGCUAGUGCUUCCUUCAAUUAUGCUUUUGUAAGCUAUCUUAUGAAAGAAAACAUAUAAUUUACUAUGGUAUAUAUUUUACUUUAUUCUUUUUUCUAUUCCAAUAGAACAUUAAAUUUAUUAUAUUCUAAAGAGUAAAUCUUAUACACAUUGACGGUGUAUAUUCUAUUACUAUUGGAUUCAUGACAUAUGUGCAAAAGUUGAAUUUCAAAUUCAAAUUUUACAUAGUUGUCAUUCAUCCAACGUGUACCGUGUAUAUAUACAUUAUCAGUGUAGGAAAGAUUAAUUCUAUUCCAAAUAGAACUUUAUAGUUAUUAUUUUUUUUAAAAAAAAUCUUCAGUAAGACCUUUUCAUGGUUUGAUAAAGUUCCCAAGCUAAUUGAGUCGAAAAUCAAUAGUGAACUUCAUGCAAAAGAGCUAUAAGAUGAAAUGACUAGAACCCCUUGUUCCUCAAUCUAGAACCGGACCUGCAGAGUGGUCUACCUCCUAUUGUUUAAAAGGCGAGCAAUAAUUAAGUUCUAUAUAUAUUUUUGGCAUUUUUUUUUUGCAAAAAAUCCUACUCUAAGGUACAACUUAUACGACAAACAAACAUAGGCUAAAUGAACGAUUGCUCAUUUUCUUAAUUUUAAAAAUUCUUAUAUUUAUACCUAUCAUUUAAAUGUCAUAAUUUUUAGUGACUUUUUGUAAGUAAACUCUUUUUUUAAUGUGUAUGUUGUUUUAUAUUGAAUUUGUCAUGUAAAUACACCCAAUCACAUUCUAAUAUUUAUAUAUUUUUCAGAUUUAAAUCUCAUUUUCUAAAAGAUUGCCAUCUAAAAAUCAUUGAAAAGUGGAAUGGACUCAAUUAGACGAGCUCUUCUUCUUCCCUUUGUUUUUUUCAAAUAAUGACACGGCAAUAAUGCACCCCCUGAAUCACAAAAACACUCGCACUCUGGCUGCUGCUUGUCCAUGGACCAUUCGUUAUCUGUGCGCCAACCCACUCAACUGUCCCAUCAAUUAAAAUCUAAGGGGGCAAUAGUGGGUCAAAACUUAUCCUUGAUGAUGAUAAGAUGAAAAAAAAUUGGACCCCAGCCCAAAGGUCUCGUUUUGCACGUGUACUGAUUUGCACAUGUGCUCCACAAGGCCCUAAAGUUAAAAUUGUCCUAAUCAAUUGCUAUCCGUGAAUUUUUUGCACGGAUUAACUUUUUAUAAAAGCUCGAUUUUUUACACUAGCAACUUUAAAUAAACACGUGUACAUAAUUUAAAUUUCAAAUUUAAAUUAAUAUUAUAUAGCAUUGAUCUAAUUCUGUUUAUAUAAAAAAAUCUUUAUUUUGACAAAAUAUAGAAAAUUUGUUCAGAUUGUCCACGAAACCAUAUAAAUCGUAGCUACAUGACAACUUUAGAAGCGCCUACAUUUGAACAAGUUUUAUUGUAGUUAAUAAGCAAGUCCUAGAGUAACUAAUUACUGCAUCCGAUCGGUGUGAAUAAUGCACUUGAAGUGAUUCUUUUGGGCACAUAAGAGAGACAUGAUAUGAAACAGUGCUGCUAAUUUAUUUUUUUUUUGAUCGACACGAUAUAUUAUACACCUACUCCUGACAGAAUUUUCCAAAAAAUUCUAAAGAAGAAUUCAAGAAAUUUAAUUCCGUGACCUAUAUUCAAAGAGAGUUUUAAACCUCUCUCUCUCUAGCGGCUAACCACUUUAGAGACAGUCAAUUGAAAUAGUGCUGCUAAAUGACUCUGGCAUUUCUUUUCUUUUCUUCAAAGAUUCUUUUGACGCAUUUCUCAACGAUCGCUUUUUGCUACGUGUGCACUGUGCCGUACAAUGUUAGUGCCAAAAAUCAGCGCGAACAGUUGGAUUAUAUAUUGGUUUUUCUAAACACUCACUCAAAACCUGCAAUCUAAACGAAGCCACAGAUUGCCGGCACAAAUUAACAGCUCUGUUUACUUGUACUGGUAGGAUACAAAAGUAACACAUAACACUGUAAAAAGUUAUCUAGUACUGGUAGGAUACAAAAAUAACACUAACACACUGUUAAACAGUUACCUAGAAAAGCAGAUUUGUAGCUAAAAAGGCUCGAUUUUGCCUCCAUUAAGCCUAUAUUUCACCCAUUGCUGACAAUAGAUUUGAUAUAAUCAAUC
rnacentral:lncRNA from 1 species